rnacentral:lncRNA from 1 species
AAAGAUCGGGCACGCCAUGUCAAGAGUCCCAAUGUAGAAUUCAUGUAACAUCUUCAUAACCACCGGCUGAAGCUGAGGCCAGAACUUCUGGAAGAAAGCCACCGAUAGGCCAUCCGACCCAGGUUGCAGAUCUCGCCCUCAUGUCCGUGAUAGCACCACCGACCUCCUCCGGCAGGAAUGGCAGUGUCAUCUCGCCAUUCUCAAAGGCGCCUAUUACUCAUACAGGACGUCUACCAAAGACGAUCACUUGUGAGUCUGACUGAAGCGGCUUUCUACACGACAUUUCAGUUGUGCGUGAGUAAAACAACUCGUCGCUGCUAAAGUAUAUACCACAAAUGAACAUUCCAAGACCCGCACCACAUGUGUCCGAAGAGUUACCAGUAAUGAAUAAUUAUCAAGGUUUGUCAGUGGUAAGCACUUACCACUAGUAAUUUUUCAAGUUACUAGUGACGACCAAUAUGUGUACGUUUCCUGGAGCCGGAGACUACAUCAUUUUUGUAGUAGCUGAAGAACUUGUAGUUUAUUUUUCUAUAAUACAAGUAAGAAAAACACCGAGAGAAAAGUUGAAGUAGAAGAAAUGUAGUAUUGAAAAUCCUGGAAGAUGUUUUAUUCAUCAUAGCAUGCAUGGGAAAAAUACAACUAUUUAGAACGUGGGAGGAGGAGUACAAUGUCUUGGAUCACGACCUGCACAGGAGGUACCAGAAUCAGCUGGUGAUGCUAUAAGAGAGUUCUUCGGAGUCACCGAGUAGCGCAUCCAUGCUUGACUGGUUUCUCCUAUUGGAGUAGCUGCCACUGCUCGGUCCUGGUGCAGGACCGAGGAGAUCAUCAUCAAACUAAGAACCAUCACUACUACCACAACUUUUGACAUUGUCCUUCACAAUAAUAUAGUGAACAAACUAUCAAGAACUAGAUUGAUGUAACAUACUAUUGUUUUGUUGCUAUGGUAACAAGAUGACACAUAUAUACUAAUCAAUUCGACAUAUUUAGGGAUAAUAUCAAUGUAUAUCUAAAUAUUUUAUUUUUGAUAAGGAAUAUCAAUACAUAUAAAAUUUAUUUAUACUAGCAAUCCAACACAAUUAGUAUUAAAAUUAUGACAUGGGAGUUGGCAUGCAAAAUUUACUAGGUUAUGCCUGUAUAGUAUAUAUUAAACGCCACAAUUAAUAAUUACCUAUAUUUUAUUUCUAUUAUAUGGCUCAUAAUCAAUUUGGUGGCUGCAUUUUCUAAAUUGAAUCCAAUACAGACUCAUUAGGUAGGAUUUGCUAAGUAUUGCCAUAUAGUGGCUAACCACGAAAAAGUAACAAACUAAUCUUCUAGCUUACUAGAGAUUUGUUCCUUUCUAGCCUGUGUAAUAUUACAUUUAUUAAAAUACUACAGACGAAGAUGCUCAUACAUAUGGACACACACUCACCCUACCCCUCUGAGCAUCUCUGAGAGACUGAGCUGGCACAUCAUCUUGAGGUUGACGAAGUCACCAGCAAAGCUUUCAUAGCCGAUGGUGUUGGUGCAACAAACCCUGGGUCUGUUCCCAGACCAUGCACAGGCCUAAAAGAACAAAGUUGCAAUGACCAAGACAAGACCAAGCUGAAGAGAUCAGCUCUUUGAGAAAUCAGAGGGCAGAUCAAGGGGACCAAGUCAAGCCAAAGGAACAAGACACCACUAAGGGAAAACCUCCCUUUCCGGGCAGGCGAGCAUGGCGAGGUCGAGGUGGCCCCAAGAAUAAGCAUCAAGACCGUCCAGGCAGGCCUGUCGGGCACAACAAAGGUAAACCACCCCCGCCAAGGCUACACCGCUCCACUUCACGGCAACACAAGUCAUCGAUCGGUGUGGUGUCAAGCAUACAAUUGACUGAGUGGUUGUUUCUUGCCACAUGGCAGUCACUUCCUACGGAAAACACCUCCAAAUGACACCCAUCCAGCGACGUGUCAAGAAGAUAGACAAGAAGGUGGCAGAACAGCCCGGCAAGGCUUGCCGGGCAUUCCAUGAUGUGGCACUAAGCGGCACAUUUAAUGCACUCUGUCCUGUCUGCAGAGUUAGGUAUGAUAGCAUUGUUCGCUAUCUAAUCAAUGCAUAAUGACUAAUUUGCCACUAUGAUGACCCCUUGAUCUAUAAAAGGAGGCCCAUGGCAACCGUAGAAAGGAUUCGGACCCCCGUGCACUCAUACGUGCGUAGCUGCUCUCGCCCCGAGGCAACCUUGGCGGGCAAGAGCACUGCAUUUUCACAACAAUCCACCAUCAAUCCACCAAAGCAGGAGUAAGGUUUUACGCCUCGCGGUGGACCGAACCUGGGUAAAACUGUCCGAUCUCUACCGUGCUGCGCGACAUUCUCCGGUCUUUGUGCAACGUGCUCAUCCCCAGUACCAAACCACAAAGGGGCUCAUGGCCCCAUAGGUGGCCGUGGUUUCCCACGACAUCUUUGGCGCGCUAGGUAGGGGGAUCACUUGCACCAACCUGAGAAGUGUAAGCAACGCGUCACCUUCAUCACCAUUCUCUUCAUCGACAGCUCCAUCGACCAUGGAACCCAAGAAGAAGCCCGGUGACGCAACUCACCCGUCCACCUCGAUGGCCCCAUCGCAUGCGGCUGCCAACACCGUGGGGGCUACAGGGACGCACGCGGGUGUGGCUGCUGCGGGGAACGUGGUCGGCACAGGCGGCGUCGUCACCACCUUUGCUGCGGCCGAAGGAGGAGCAGGAGGCACCAGGGAAGGAUGACAUCAACAGCACACCAGUGGCGACGCUCCACGAGGUACGGGUGGAGAGAUUAUUCAAUCUGUACCACUCCACCCAGCCGAAGGGCACAUCCGCAGCGGCGGCGCUCAUUCUAGGGCAAAUCGCAACUCUCCUAUCGCUCCCCCUGCGGGCGCGAUCGCAGGGCAUGCACCACCCCCGGAGCAAGCUAACCCAGCUGCUAUGCCCACCGGAGCCGCUGGUCCUCAAGCACCUCCACCUUGUCGCCACGCCAUCCAAGCGGCUGGCUCGCAACGAUGAGAGCACGGCCUGGUCGCCACCGACUCCAUUGAGAGUUGGGCGACGUUGCGAUCUACAUCAUCAUCACCCAUGCCAAGCACCACCUUGGAGGCCAUGGCAUGGGCCCAACUGCUAUUGAGAUUUCCGCCGGCAGCCGAUUAGAUGGACGAGUGGUGAGCCACCAUCCAAAGCCUGAUUGGUUUCACGGAGGCUGGAGGAUCACAACGAGCUGGCCCGCCAUGGCCUCCCCAAGCGAUGAUAACGACCCGCGCUGCUGGCCGUACUGAAGGGGCCACCCCUACAGUGCAGUCCCCUCCGUGGCCAGCAUAGGAACCACGCAACCAAGAACCCAAUGACGUCUCGAUGGCCUCAUUCGACCCUCGGGCGCAUCAAGGCCAACAACGAGCCCUGGAGGAUAGGCAGAGGGAAGGCGCGCAUGUCACCAUCAAGCAAUGCCGUGACACCCUCCGCCAGUCCGAUGGGCGCAAUGGCCCCAACGUCGACGAGCUUGCGCUCGGUGGAGGCGGGUACCUGCCUUUCGAGGUUGGGUGCCCCGACUUCACCCGAGAGCUACGACAAGUCUGUUGGCCAUCUAUCCACACGUUCAAGCCAGAGAUACCAGAGAAGUAUGACUGAAGGUUAAAACCCAGCAGAGUUUUUGAGCAUCUACACCAUUGCUAUUCAAGCUGCCGGGGGAAGAGAUGAGAAGGUGUUCGUCAAUUACUUCCCUUUGGUACUCAACCCAAAUGUGUGGUCUUGGCUGUUGCACCUGCAGGAGAACUCCAUUUCAACCUGGGCUGGGCUAUGCCAUGAGUUCAUUGGUGCCUUCACGGGCGGCCAUCAAGAACCAAGGCGGCCCAAUGACUUGCAGAACCUCCCACAGAAAGAAGGAGAAACUCUGCGGAAGUACAUGCAGAGGUUCAGCCGAGUGCACGGGAAUAUUCCAGGCAUCCACCCGACAUCGGUGAUAGCUGCGUUCUAGUCCAACAUGUGUAAUUGUCGGAUACGUUCCAAGAUGAAUGUUCGACUGCCCAAGACUGUGAAGAAGCUUUACACUCUAGUGGAUACGUUUGCUCGGGCGGAGGAGGGGAGGUGGCUCCCCGAAGAAGAGGAUGGCGUCGAUGUCGAUUCAAAGGAUGAUGACGAGGCCACCAGUAGAAGAAGAAGAACAAGGAGCGCAACAAGAAGCGCAAGGAUAAGGCAGUGAUGACCAUUGAAGGAUCGGGCACUCUUAGUAUCGGCAAGAAGGCCAAGACUUAGGCACCCAGCAAGGAAGUUGAUGCGUGCCAUGAUUGUCGGGAGGCCACAACUACCGAGAAGGCUAGGAAAGGUGAUGGCCUGUUCGGCAAGAUCCAUCGGACCAAGGGCCACGAUCUCCAAGAGUGUCAUUAGGUCGAGCAUAUCGUAAAGAAGCAGAGGGCUGAAUAUGAGAAGCAUGAUAAGGAAAAAAUGUCAGAAUGGCGCUGGCGGGAAGGGCCGAGGCGGCGAAGCAGGACGCCCCGGCAAGGCUCCUGGAAAUCAAUGGAAACCCGCCAGGGUCCGUGAGAAGGAGGACUGCAAUGAUGAGGGUGAUGGAGGAGAUGAAGAGGAAACCAGCGAGGAGGAAUUCCAGAAAGCCAUUGACGCCGUGUGCAUUGACAGAGGUGCAUCUUUGCACUCCUCUCACUGCAAACUUAAAUAGUGCCCGUGUGAAGUCAAUGUCGUGGAACCACCGACAGAUUCUCGGAGGCCGCUCAUGUGGUCCCGCACGCCCAUCAUCUUCAACAAAGAGGACCACCCUGACCGCACCACUGCAGUAGGGUGCUUGCCAUUGUUGGUCUCACCAACAAUCCACAACCUCAAAGUCAAAAAGAUGUUGGUUGACGGCGGGGUUGGGUUGAAUCUGAUUUCUCCAAAGGUCACCAGCAAACUCCAGAUAGCAGUGGAAGAGCUCAAGGUUACUGGCACGUUUCAAGGAGUCAAUCCCGGAAGGAGUCGCCCUAAAGGGGAGAUUAAGCUGCUAGUGACAUUUGGGGGAGAGUUGAAUUAUCAGACUGAGAAAGUUGUGUUUGGUUUGGUCGACCUCCCCCUAUCGUACAAUGGGAUCCUUGGUCGCCGAAAGUGCAACUAUCCCUCGGUGGUUUUGGUAAUUCCUAACAACAUAUAGCUCAUUGAACUAAUGUUAUUUCUACAUAAAUAUUUCAGGAAAGCUCAAUGGAUGGCAUGGCAUGGAUGAGAAAAGUGGACCCCUCAAAAUGCUAAGGAUAAACGGAUUGGCUCAAGCUCAAAGCUCAAGACUGUACAUUUUAUAUUUUAGUGAUCCAAGAUCACAUUGAGUCUAUAGGAAAAGCCAAUACUAUCAAGGAGGGAUGAGGUGUUGCUUAAUGGCUUGCUUGCUCAAAGUGCUUAGUGGUAUGCUCCAAAGCCCUCAACUACUUUCUCACAUCCACAUAUGACCUAAACCAAAAUUCAAACUCGGCCCCACCGAUUCUUUCUGUCCGGUGCCACCGAGUUCAGAUGUCAUAGCCACUGCCACAAACCCUAGGCAAAUCGGUCUCACCGAUAGGGUUCUCGGUCUCACCGAGCUGGGAUUGUAAUCUCUCUGUUUCCCUUCGUAACAUUUUGGUAACACCGAGAUGGGCGAUCGGUCCCACCGAGAUUGCAAUGUCAACUCUCUGUUUCCCUUUCGUAACAUUUCGGUCUCACCGAAAUGAGCGAACCGGUCCAACCGAGUUUACCUGACCAACUCUCUGGUUAGCUUAUUACCAAAAUCGGUCCCACCGAGUUUGUGUAAUCGGUCUCACCGAGAUUACGUUAUGCCCUAACCCUAACCAUAUCGGUCCUACCGAGUUGCAUGUCGGUCCCACCAAAAAUCCUAACGGUCACUAGAUUUGCUGAAUCGGUCUGACCGAGUUUCUCAAUUCGGUCCCACCGAGAUUGGCAAGGUGUGUGUAACGGUUAAAUUUUGUGUGGAGGCUAUAUAUACCCCUCCACCUCCUCUUCAUUCGUGGAGAGAGCCAUCAGAACAAACCUACACUUCCAACUUACAUUUUCUGAGAGAGAACCACCUACUCAUGUGUUGAGACCAAGAUAUUCCAUUCCUACCAUAUGAAUCUUGAUCUCUAGCCUUCCCCAAGUUGCUUUCCACUCAAAUCUUCUUUCCACCAAAUCUAAAUCCUGUGAGAGAGAGUUGAGUGUUGGGGAGACUAUCAUUUGAAGCACAAGAGCAAGGAGUUCAUCAUCAACACACCAUUUGUUACUUCUUGGAGAGCGGCGUCUCCUAGAUUGGCUAGGUGUCACUUGGGAGCCUGUGACAAGAUUGUGGAGUUGAACGAAGGAGUUUGUAAGGGCGAGGAGAUCGCCUACUUCAUGAAGGUCUACCGCUAGUGAGGCAAGUCCUUCGUGGGCGAUGUCCAUGGUGGGGUAGACAAGGUUGCUUCUUCGUGGACCCUUUUUGGGUGGAGCCCUCCGUGGACUCGCGCAGCCAUUACCCUUCGUGGGUUGAAGUCUCCAUCAACGUGGAUGUACGAUAGCACCACCUAUCGGAACAACGACAAAAACAUCCAUGUCUCCAAUUGCGUUUGAUUCUCCAAACCCUUCCCUUUUACAUUCUUGCAAGUUGCAUGCUUUACUUUCCGCUGCUCAUAUACUCUUUGCAUGCUUGCUUGAAUUGUGCUAAGUUAGCUAAAAUCUGCCAAAGACUAACAUUGGGAAAAGGAUAAGUUUUUAUUUGGUCAAGUAGUCUAAUCACCCCCCCUAUAGACAUACUUCCGAUCCUACAAGUGGUAUCAGAGCUUUGGUCUCCAUUUGCUUUGACUUCCAUAGCUUUUGGUGGUCAUAGAUUUGGUUUCACAACCUAGGAGAGUAUGGCAUCUAGCGAGGGAAACUAUCACCGUAGAGGUCCUUACUUUGAUGGUACUAAUUUUGCUAGUUGGAAGCAUAAGAUGAAAAUGCAUAUUCUCGGACAUAACCCCGCCGUUUGGGCUAUUGUGUGUAUUGGCUUGCAAGGUGAUUUCUUUGAUGGGAGAGAACCGAACCGUGAAGCCAGCGUGAAUGAGUUGAAGAUGCUGCAAUACUACACUCAAGCUUGUGAUAUCCUCUUCAACAGAUUGUGCCCCGAAGAAUUCAACAAAAUCAGCCGUCUUGAGAAUGCAAAGGAAAUUUGGGAUACUUUGAUUGAUAUGCACGAAGGUACCGACUCCGUUAAGGAAUCCAAGUUGGAUGUGCUACAAAGUCAACUUGACAAGUUCAAGAUGAAGGAUGGUGAAGGGGUCGCUGAAAUGUACUCUAGGCUUGAUCUCAUUAAAAAUGAGAUUGCCGGGUUAGGAAGUGAAGAGAUGACCGACAAAUUCAUCAUCAAUAAGAUCCUAAGAGCAUUGGAUGGAAAAUAUGAUAUCGUGUGCACAUUGAUCCAAAUGAUGCCCAAUUACAAGAAUCUCAAGCCAACGGAAGUCAUUGGAAGAAUUGUUGCUCAUGAGAUGUCACUCAAGGAUAAGGAGGAGCUCCACAAGAAGUCAAGUGGUGCUUACAAAGCCUCAUGUGAAGCCCCCACAUCAUCAAGUGAGAAACAAACCUUCAAUGAAGAAUUGAGCCUAAUGGUGAAGAACUUUAACAAGUUCUACAAGAGUAGAAGCAAAGAGAGAAGCUCCAAGUAAAGGUCCUACAAUGACAAAAGAUCUAGUCGAGAGCGUAACUGCUACAAUUGUGGAAGAUCCGGACACUAUUCCAAUGAGUGUACGGCUCCCUACAAAAGAAGAGAAGAAUCACCUAUGAGGAGAAGUAGAAGAGAAGAAUCACCACCAAGAGAGAGAAGGAGUAGAGAUGAUCAUUAUGAACGAAGAACAUCUCAUAGAGGCAAGGAUUCGGAAAGGAAGGACAAGUCAUCAAGGAGCUACGCAAAACGAAGACAUCAAGCUCAUGUUGGUGACUGGGUAUCCGGCUUCGACUCCGACAAUCACUCCGAGAGAAGCUAUCACUCCGACUGCGAACAUACUCAAGGUGAAGGUGUUGUCGGUCUAGCACUUGUGUCAACCAACUCCUACGACAUAUUUGAUUCACCAAAUGAAGGACUCGGAAGAUGCUUCAUGGCUAAAGGCCCAAAGGUAACACACCCCGAGUAUGUUGAUUUCAAUAGCGAUGAAGAUGACUUGUUAGGUGAUGAUGAUUUACUUAUUGGGAACUCUAGUGAUGAAUACUAUGAUGAAACGUCAAUUAAUCAUGCUAAUCAAGAUAAAAGGAAUGACAAUGAUAAGGAGAAGAUUGAGCUCCUAACUAAAGAUCUAAACACUCUUAAGUUAGCUCAUGAAACUAUCUUAGGGGAUCAUCGAGAACUUUUAAGGACUCAUGAGAAGUUAUGCUUUGAAAAGCUCAACCUUGAGCAAGAGCAUGAGUUAUUAAAGGCAAUCAAUGAUGAUCUUCGCAAGAAAAGUUCUUCUUACAUUACCAAGCAUUUACUCUUAUCUACUUACAUGCCUCAAGUCAAGUCUAGUAACAAGAACAAGAAGGAUUCUCCCUCUAGUAGUAACAAUAAUCCUGUUAAAUCCAAUGUUGUUGCUUCUAGUAGUUCUCUUGAUUCCACUAAUGAUUCUCUUAGCCAAGUUACACUAGAGCAAGAAAAUAGCUUAUUGAAGGGAAUUAUAGAGAAAGGUGUUUACAAAAGCCUUGUCGGGAGUAAGCAAUUCGAGGAAAUUGUACGCAAGCAAGGAGGGCACCGGAAGAACCAAGGUGUUGGUUUUGAAUGAAAGUUCAAUGCCAAUGGAGUUGAGUAAGAAGAAGAUUAAUACCCCAAGACGAAGUUUGUUCCUCAACAAGAGAAGUAUGAUCCUACUUCCUUCAAAGGGACACAAGCUCAAGAUGAUCUUCCACCACAAGACCACAAGAAAAAUGGCAAGGGUGAGCUUCAAGAGGAUAUUGAUGCAUUUGAAGAAGCUCCCAAGGCCUUGGUCAAGUGGGUUCUGUCGGAUGUUGGGUUCCGUCAGACCCUUGUGGUUCGAAAUCUAUGGUGCGCACGAAAAUCUCUCCCCUAUCUAUCUACGUCCGAUCAUCUCGUGAUAUCUAAGCUGGAAACGAUGAACAACACAAGGGACACGAGAUUUAUACUGGUUCGGGCCACCGUUGUGGUGUAAUACCCUACUCGAGUGUGUGGUGUGGUGGAUUGCCUCAGGGGCUAAUGAUGAACAGUACAGGGGAAGAACGGCCUCACGAGAGGUGUUCUUGGGCUGGUGCGAUGAGCUUCUUGGGUGAGUUCGAUUGCCUCUCUCUCUCUCUAGUCUUCCCCCCCCCCAAAUCUGGAUCCCCUCAAAUUUGGAUCCCCUAACUCUGGAUCCCCUAACUCUGGAUCCCCUAAAUCUGGAUCCCUCCACUCCGUGGUGGCUAGUUCUAUUUAUAGAGGCCCUGGGCCUCUUCCCAAAUAUUGAGUGGGAAGGGCGCCAACAACGGCCAUUUCAAAGGGGAACAUCUGGUACAAGUUAUCCUGACUAAAGUUGGUCUUCGGUUGCCAAAAGAGCUAGCGAUGACGCCGUCUUGGGCUCCACGGUGACCUCCAUCCUGCCGCUCCGCUGGUCUUGGUCUUGUUGCACUGAAAUGGCAACCUUUGCCCAAUGCCUCGGUACUCCAUGUUUGUGCUUGCCCCCUUUGCACCAAAGAGGAAACAAGGACACUGCGCAGGCUGGCGCCCGCCUGGUCUCGAUCGUCAUGGCUUGCGUCACGAGCACCUCGCGAGGUACCCUACCUUGAUCUCUCCACCUCCUCGUGAGCCUGCCUGGCGAGGCCGUCCCUGAGGAAGCCUUGCAUCGUCCUCCCUGCGAGGCUUGGCCCCUCGCGAGGGUCUUGAGUCUUGUGCUGAUGAAGACGGGCCGUACUGGGCCACCACUUGAGCCACGCCGUAGGCAUGCAAGUCUAGGGACCCCCAUUCCUAGAACGCCGACAGUAGCCCCUAGGCCCAAGGCGCGCUCGAACUUGGCUUAGCAGACAAGCGAAGGGGCAAGUGUGGAGUGCCACGGGCCCCAUCAGCCUGCGGCCUUGGGCGUCGCGGGGCGGUUGAUUGGACGUGGGCGUCUCCGCUUCCCCAUGCUGCCUCGGCAACUGCUCGACUUGACAAGUCCCUGUGCACAAAAAUGGGUCAUGAUUACCUGAGAUCGUGGUGGCUGACGGUUGGAGUGCUGCUCCGAGAAAGGCGGCCGGGGUACCGGCGUGGCGAGGGCCAGGCUGGCCAAUCGCCUCCCCAGCACCUCCUUAGGCAGCAGCGGAGGAGCCAGAGGAUCCAGCGACUCCACUGAGCUUCUCGCGACUCCGGAGACAAGCGACGAUAGCUACGAGGCCCCAAGCUCACGUCGCGCUCGGAGCAGGGCAGCUGCAUUAGGCCGCCGGCGCUACUGAUCUGGAUGAGGUUGGCGCUGGCGCCCGAUGGCCCACUGUUGAUGAUGGCAUCUCCUGCGGAGGCGUGUGUAGUUAACGCUCCUUAGUACCUUUUGUUCCCUUCGAGGAACCGAAAUGACACCCCAUGGGGGUAUGUAAGGCGCCUGCUAUGUCUUUUGUGAAUUGUACAUCCUUAUCGUGAAUCAAUGCAAGAGGCGUGUUUUGCCCUGGCUCAGCUCCCCCUUUCUUUCCUGACGAGGGCUUGGUGCUCUACGCUGACAGGUCCCGGUCCCCAGGCAGGCUUCAGCCGUCACUGGUAUGCCAGGUCGCGAUGCCGUGGUCAAGGCCAGGAGGUGACUGGCCCAAGGUCCAGUAAGAGCCCCUGAGUCGCGAUGCUCAGGAGGUUCCCCUUAGCGCUCAAGCAUCCUCCGCUGGGCGAGAAAUGCAGGCAACGUUGCCGUGACAGAGCUGCAAUAGGCGAGGGUUUAGCGCUGAGUCGAUUUAGCUUUUGCGUGACUUAUCUCAUAGGUUUCGAGUAGUUCUUUGGUGAGGUGCCGGGCCUGCAUGCCGGCAGCUGGGGUGUUGCUGGGUUAGGCCCUCGUGAGCUUCUCCCCUCUUCCCCGCACUUUCCUUCGUGCUCUACGUCCUCAGGUCCCGGCUCCCGAGCGAGCUCAGCUGCCGCUGGUAUGACAGGUCGGGAUGCCGUGGGUCAAGGCCAGGGGGUGAGGGUUGGAGAGCCAGUAAGAGCCCAUGAGUCGCAAUGCUCAGGUGCCCCCCUUUUAACGUGCGAGUGGAUCGUGCGGGAGAGAGGGAGAGGGAGCUCGCGACGCCCCCGACGCUACUCCUAAAGCAGAUCCUGCACACUAAUCAUGAGGGAAAACAAGGUCUACCGUUACAGAUGCUAGCCAGCCAUUGGUUGCUUCGAGGGAGUGAUUGGGGCACUGAGGGCCUGGUGAGGUGGCGCUACGUGGGGUUGCCACGGCCAGAGCUCGGCCACUCAGAUUUUUCCGUGUUGCAGGGACGGACCCAUGCGCAAGCACCGUGCCAGAGCGAGCGGCUCCAAAGGCAGGUGUCAAUCGAGCAGGCGAUUAUCUCAAGCAGGCCAAUCAUGAAGGAGAAAAUCCACUUAGACACAUGCGGAAAAAAGUAAAUGCCACUGGGUCAGGCCCUGAGCGGCUUGGGGAUGAUGCACCCCAGGGGCGCCCCCAACAAGGUAAGCAGAGAACAUAAGCAAAACGGAUACAUGCCGCAGGGACGGACCCACUCGACCUGGGAAUGAUGCAGCCCUGCGGGCGCUCCCAGCUGAAACGAAAACUGAAAAGAAGUCACCUGAUACUUUUGUAGAGCCUGUGUUGGAGUAGCUGACGAUGCGGGGCGAAGGGGGCGAUCCUCACGAGCCCAUCGGGACUCCAAGCCUCGAGAGGCUCGGGCAGCCCGACGAGGUCCAUCUCCAUCUCCUCCAUGAGUGCGCAAUGCUGAGCUUCCAGAAUGCUCCUCAUCAGGCGCUGGCAGGCUGCAGCCGCGUCCCACAAGCUGAAGGGCAUGCGAACGUAGCUGUGUGGUGGGCCCGUGCAAUGCCCCACGCGCGAAGUCCAGAAGCUCUCCUGAGAAGUGACUCGAUUGAGCCCUGGGUAGUCAAUGCAGACGUGCAUCCCUCCAUCCUCGCCUGGAUGGGGAGCUACGCCGGGCAGAGGCGGUUGCCGUGCAUGACUCUCAAUCGCUCCAACUCCUGAGCGUCCUUGGUGAUGAACUCCUGAGGGUUGGGUCUUUCCUUCCUUACGCCUUCCCGAGGGAAGCAUGCCGUGAAGCACGCCUCCAAGUGGUGCCCAAGAGCCUCCCUCGUGACCUUGGCAAAGUCGGUGGCUCCCUAGGAGAGAGCCCCCGAGCCCUGCCCGAGGAGGGCACCGGGCGCGCCUUCCUAUGCGAUGGAGGGUGGCGCCCCUUUGGCGGGCUCAUGUCCAGAUGUAGAGCCUUCGGGGGUGCCUGCCUCCUAAGGCCUUGAACCGGGUGAUGUAUUCUUCUUGGGAGCUGCUCCAGGGAGGUUUCCACUCUUGCUGUCCGGGUCCUCGAUCGACGCGGCCUGGAAGGCGCACUCGAGGGAGCAAACCACAUCCUUCUCUUCACAGGGGACCAUGAUGACCCCAUCGCUUCCUGGCAUCUUGAGGACGUUGUAGCCAUGGUGAGUCACUGCCAUGAACUUGGCCAGGGCUGGGUACCCGAGGAUGUCAUUGUAUGGCAGGCGAAUGUGGGCGACGUCAAAGUCAAUGAGCUCGGUGCGGUAGUUGCUGCGCUGUCCAAAGGUGACAGGAAGGCGGACCUGCCUUAUUGGAACAGUGGAACCAUCAGUGACUCCUAAGAAAGGCUUGGUCGGCUGAAGCUGAUCAUAUGGCACUUGGAGAUUGUUGAACGUCUCGACGGACAAAACGUUGAGUCCUGCUCCGCCAUCGAUGAGGGUCCUGGUGACUUGCACAUUGUUGAUGACUGGGGAACAAAGAAUUGGGAGGGCACCGGCCGUUGCCGCGCACUUGAGCUGAUUCGCUGAGCUGAACGUGAUGGCGCACGUAGACCACCUGAGAGGGCGCAUGGCUUCAAGCUUGGGGAGGACUACAUUCACCUCACGAGCAAAUUGCUUGAAGAUGUGCUGUGAGGCUGGGGCCUGAGCACCGCCUGGGAUGCAAGCGAUCGCACGUGGCUCCUGGAAGCCCCCAGCCCCCUCGUCCUGAUGAUGGUCUUUAUUCCUCCUUGAUGGUGGUGGCAGAGGAGGAAGGCCUGCGUUGCCCUGCGGGCGGUCCUCGCGAGGCUGAUUUCUCCAAGCUCCCUCGCGAGGCUGGUCCUGCCGGCGGUCCUCGCGAGGUUGGUCAUGCUACCCUUGGCGAGGGCCACGGUCGUCCCAUCGUCCUCCACCUUUUGGUUCGCCUCGGUCGUAGCCCCGAUCGUUGCGCUCAGGGCGUCGUCCGACGUGGCCUUCUCGUACGGCCCUAAGAUCUUGGCAUUCGUUGGUGUUGGGGGUGUGGAGAUCAUGGUACACACAGUAACGGCUGCCCUUGGACGACUCCGGCUGGUCCCUGCCGCGCUUGGUGUCCGGCUCUGCCGCGAGCACAGCUACUCCCUUGCGCUUCACAUCUUUGGCCUUGGCUUUCUUCUCUUCUGGGUCUGCUGCUGGGAGCUCGAGAAGGGAGAGGCGUCCCUCCUUAGCCCUUGCGCACUUGGUUGCUAGGUUGAACAACUCCAGUGACGUACACACAUCUUCAUGGAUUGCCAGCUCCUCCUUCAUCUUGACAUCGCGAACACCAUCAGAGAACGCAGAGAUAAUGGCCUCCUCAGUCACCCUGGGAAUCUUGAGACGAGCGUUGUUGAAGCGCUGGAUGUACUUCUGCAAGGUCUCUCCAGGCUGUUGCUUGAUGCGGCGCUGGUCACGCACGGCCGGUGGGCGGUCGCGAGUGCUCUGGAAGUUGGCGAUGGGCCAUGGGAAACCAGUUUGCCAUGACCUUUUUGUCCCCAUUGGCGGCUUCAAUGCCCGGCUCGUAGAGCUGCAGGAACUCCGCGGGGUCUGUAGUGCUGUCGUAGCGAGGAGGCAGGUCAGGCUUGAACUUGCCUGGCCAGGCGACGCUGCGUAACUCAGGGGGUGAAGGCGCGGCAGCCUGCGGUGGCCACCGGAGCCCUGUGCUGAUGUUGGGCUUGCUCCUGGGGAUUCCCGCGGACCGCUGCCUGGAGCAGUGCGGGGUCUUGACGUGGUGGCACAGGGAUGCGUUCAUGGCACACCGGUGCCGGGAGCACGCGAGCACCUUCUUGGGGACGAGGGAUUUCUUGGCAGCUUCUUUCUUGUCGUGCGGGCGCCGGACGCGGUGGAUCUCAUUUUGGGGCUGCGUGCCUUGGAGCUAGGGCGCCUUCUUGGGGAGGAGGAGGCGGAGGCACCUCCUGGUCUGCGCCUCCUGCGCAGGAUGGUGGGCGAGGCAGCGAGAGGGACGGCAUAGGAGAGCCCCCUGCAGCGCUAACAAGCUCGGUGAUGCGAGCGAGCCAGUCCUCGUAGAGGUCGUCGACGGGACGGUAGUGCAGGAGCUCACAGGCCAGGAGCAACGCGACGUGCGCAUCCGUGGGGGCGCGACGGGCAUGGGACGAUGAACCGGCUAGAGUCAGCGAUGGGGUGGCGGUGCGGCCUUCCCGCCGCACCGAAGGAUGCAGAGACGAGGCCUACUGCUCGUUCCCCGCUGGGCCGGUGGUGGCGUUGGCGGCAGUCGACGGGGAACAACGGGGGCACCCGCCGACGGGCGCCGUCUGGGUGACGCGGGCGGCGAGAGCAGCCCGACGCUCGGCGCGAGCCCGGCGAGCGUCAGCCAUGGACACGACGGAAGAUCGAAUGCGAACAACAGAAGAGAGGUUCCGGUGCACCCCUGCGUGGCGCGCCAAAUGUCGGAUGUUGGGUUCCGCCAGACCCUUGAGGUUCGAACUCUGGGGUGCGCACGAAGAUCUCUCCCCUAUCUAUCUACGUCCGAUCAUCUCGUGAGAUUUAAGCUGGAAACGAUGAACAACACAAGGGACACGAGAUUUAUACUGGUUCGGGCCACCAUUGUGGUGUAAUACCCUACUCCAGUGUGUGGUGUGGUGGAUUGCCUCAGGGGCUGAUGAUGAAUAGUACAGGGGAAGAACAGCCUCGUGAGAGGUGUUCUUGGGCUGGUGCGAUGAACUGCUUGGGUGAGUUCGAUCGCCUCUCUCUCUCUCUAGCCCCCCCCCCAAAUCUGGAUCCCCUCAAAUCUGGAUCCCCUAAAUCUGGAUCCCCUAAAUCUGGAUCCCUCCACUCCGUGGUGGCUAGCUCUAUUUAUGGAAGCCCUGGGCCUCUUCCCAAAUAUUGAGCAGGGAGGGCGCCAACAACGACCAUUUCGAAGGGGUACAUCUAGUACAAGUUAUCCUGACUAAAGUUGGUCUUCGGCUGCCAAAAGCACUGGUGAUGACGCCGUCUUGGGCUCCACGGUGACCUCCAUCCUGCCGCUCCACUGGUCUUGGUCUCGUUGCACUGAAAUGGCAACCUUUGCCUGAUGCCUCGGUACUCCACGUCUGUGCUUGCCCCCUUUGCACCAAAGAGGAAACAAGGACACUUCGCAGGUUGGCGCCCGCCUGGCGCCUGCCUGGUCUUGAUCAUCAUGGCUUGCGUCACGAGCACCUCGCCAGGUACCCUGCCUUGAUCUCUCCGCCUCCUCACGAGCCUGCCUGGCGAGCCCGUCCCUGAGGAAGCCUUGCAUCGUCCGCCCCAUGAGGCUUGGCCCCUCGCGAGGGUCUUGAGUCUUGUGCUGAUGAAGACGGGCCGUACUGGGCCACCACUUGAGCCACGCACAGGCCGCAGGCAGGCAAGUCUGGGGAUCCCCGUUCCCAGAAUGCCGACAGGUUCCCAAGACUACGUCAAGUUCUACCUCAUCAAGUACGACUACAACUCCAAGGAUUCCCAUCAAGAUGAUGUGGAUCCCGAAGAAGAAGAACUAGAGAGUUCUUGAGGGUGACUCCGCCAACAUACUUCACUCAUAUCAUUUUGGCAAGGACAAGUGCAAUCAGCUUCCACAUCUUGCACUAGUUCAUGGAGUCACAAACCCUCUUGUUAGUAAGACAAGGGACAAGGUAACCUAAUGCUUUCAUAGACAUCAUUUUGUGUGUGCAUCACUCUAUGUCUAUGGAUAUCCUUGUUUGUUCCUUGUGGGACUAACCCGUGUAGGUAUUGAAAGUACUACUCACUCCAAAGGAUUGCUCCAAAUGAUCUACAUCAACAAUGAGCAUUAACAUCUUCAACACCUACAUGAAGUCAUCAUCGACAAAACCCAAGGUUAGUUCAUCCCUCUAAGGGGGGAUCUCACAUCUAGGGGGAGAUUUACUCUAAGAAUUGAGUUAAAGCAACUCUAAUGGUGUGAACACAACAAUGCAUUAUGUAAAAGUGGCAACCCCACUUGAGCUUAAACGUUGAGUAUGACCUAUGAUCAAAUGUUCUCAUUUGAUUCCUAAGUCAACAUACUCAUAUAUAGAUGACCUAGUCAUCGCCAAUUGCUUGAUAGAUGCUAGAAUGGUUGUGCAUGCUUUGCCACGUAUUUCAUUUGUCAUUUGAUUGUGUGAGCAUGUUGGUUGCAUAUUUACUCAUUCGAGGACAUACACUUGUUGUUUUGAUUGUUUGGUGUCUUUUCUUUUGCCAAGUGGAUGGACAAGAAUGCGUAAGUACCUUCUCUAGCUGUCUAUGCUUUUCUUGUCUCAAACUCUAUUCAUGGUACAUCACAAAGUUUGAUCAAGUCAGAUUCAAACCACUCUAUGUGAGGAGCACUCGGAGUCCCUGAUUCUUCAUAGACUUAAACUUCCAAAACUUCUUUGUGUGUUUCGGUCUGACCGAUUCUUCCAUUUCGAUCAUACCGAGAUCACUAGGUAAAUCUAGGUUUUCAAUCUUGGUGCAACCGAUUUGAACUUUUCGGUCACACCGAGUUGCAGUAACUGCUUGUAGUAAUGCAUCUCGGUGCCACCGAGUUGUCCCACUCGAUCACACCGACAGGGUCGGGCUAUAUAUAUCCACGGGAAAUUUUUUGGAAAUUUCUCUGACUCUUUCGCCUGCGCUCAGCCCGCUCUGCCUCCCUGGGUCUCCGGAUCGUCCUCCUCGUUGCCAGCCGCCUCCCACCGCUGGUCUCUGCGACCGUCAACGGGAAUCAUCUCCGCCGUUGCCGCCGUAGCAAGUCCAUCGCCAAACUAGGGUAUUGUAACGCCCCGGAUACAACUUUCCAUAAUCGUAAAUCCAACUCUUGCCAUUUCCGGCUAUGUGAUAUGUUAUUUUUCUCCGUGGUUGGAUUUUGUCUUUGUUUUGCAUUUUGUUCAUGUCUUGCAUUUCAUCUCAUAGCAUCAUGCGCAUUGCAUCUGCAUGUUUUCAUAAAAUUAGCAUCCGCUCAUAGUUGCCGCUCCUCGCUUCUCUCCGUUGCAUUCGCUGACCGGUCCGAGACCAACCGUGUUUUUGUUUCCCUGUUGUCAAACCACCUAACCUCUCUGCAAAGCCACCGACCCCCUCCUGCGCGCGUCCGAAAACUGCUCCAAACCCGAACCACUCAAUCAUCACCGUUGCAUUCAGAUCAUCCCCAAACAUCUAUAAAACAUCUUCGUUUUAUUUAUUGGACUCCCUAACCUAUUUUUCCCGAUCGUCCGAUUUCGAUCGGAGGGACGAAAUAGCCCCAAACCAAAAUCCAGUGCUACUCCCUCCGUCUAGGUGUGCAAGUCAUCUUACGAAAACCAAAUAAUCCCAAAGCACUUAGGCGCGGUACAUUAACUCUCAUAUCGUUUCUUGUUUCGUGACAUAUCAACCAAUAAGAGAUGUGGGUCAUGCAUGCAUUAAAUGAUUUGAGACUACCAAACACGACAUGCAUUGGUCAGUUUGUUGCAUGCAUUGUUAUUAAUUAGCAAAAACACAUUAAGUUCUCUCGUUUUUCCCCUCCACCUUGGUCACGGUGCGCAACGUAAGAUGACUUACACACCUAGACGGAGGGAGUAUUUAUAGACCAAUCCCCUAGGCAGCAACCCUAAAUCCUAGGACAUUUGUCCCCCUAGCCGCCGCCACUUACAGCCUCCUCCCUCCUCGGAUCUGCCGCCGCCACCCAUCAAAUCCAUCCAUCUGCAGCGCCACCCACCUCCCUCGUUUUCAUCACCGGACCAAUCCCGCGGCCUCUCUUCGAGCGUCUGAGACCCUGCCUCAUCCCCAAGCUCCAGCGUCGUGCCCUCUCCCCCCGCAUAGGAGCCCGCACCCGCCUCGGUUCACCUCCGGCAGCUCGUCGCCGGAGACCCACCAGGCUAGUCCUCGCGCCCCUCUCCUUCAUCUCCCUCUUCUCUAAUCUCUCUCUCUCUCCCGGAGCUCUCAUAUCUCUCCCUUCGAUUUCUUCUAGCAGGAACAGGACGAAGCCCCAGCUCCCGUCGCCGCCCUGCUUUGUUCAUCAUCGUCUCCGCCCGAUCCGGCGAGGCCCUAUGUCUCCGGCCUCGUCCCCGCCUCCAUGGCCGCCCCGCCAUCUUCAGCGUUGCACCGCCGUUCCCUGCAUCAGCUCCGCCUGACGCCAUGGCCGACGACCUCCUCUGCGCCCCAUCGACCACGUCAGCACACGCCUCGUCGCCGUUUUACCCAGCCGCCGUCAAGUUCGCGUCCGGCCUCGGAUUCGGACGAAAUCGAGCUUCCCCGACUGGAUCCGCUCCUCCUCGCCUCAUUUGUUUCGCCAGGAGCUCGCGCCAAGUCCGCCAUCGUUGUUCUGCUUCACGGAGACGAGGACGAGCAUGAGCCCUUGCCUCUUGCCGCGUCCGCACCCUGCCUCCUCUCCAGCGUCGCGCCCAAGUCCCACGUUGCCGGCAGCCGUUCCCGCCGUCCAUCGCCAUGAACCUGCUGCUGUCGCCUCUGUUCUGCAGUUACGAGAGCAGCAGCAGCUCGCCCGUUCCUUCGUUGACCGCGUCUCCAGCGCCUGGGCCAGCGCCUCCCCAGGCCCAGUGCCCCUUCCAGCCUCCCUCUCCAUCGACUGGGCCUGACCCAUGGGUGAGCAGCCCCCAGCGCCCAUCCUCUUGUUUUUUUUCACCUAUCGGGCCAGCCAGAUUCGGCCCAGUGUAGUUUUUAUUCAGAUCCGCGAAUUUGUCUUUUAUCCAGUGCAUGCAUAAUUACAUGAGGAUGCCAUUAUUUUAAAUUGCUCACAAGUAAAUAACCGUGCAUCGGAUUUAAAUGAUUUAAACAUGUAAAAUGCUUAGAAUUUUGUGUAGAUUAAUAAUUUGCCACUUUCAUCCAUGUUAAAUAUGUUUAAAAUGUUCUUUGCAUUUAUUUUUCUAAAUGCCAUGUUAAAAUGAUUUAUUUCAUAACUAAAUAACCGUAGCUCCGUUUUAAAUAAACUUUAUAUGUAAAUGGGGUAGAAAAAUGCCUAGUUUAACAUGGUGGACCUUAUUUUCCUGUUUAAAAACUCUAAAAUAUGGUUUUAGGCAUAACAGUACCAAACUCAAAAUAUGCACAUGGGGAUUUGCCGGAAUUGUUGGUUGUUGUUUCCGGCCUCAUUUGAACUUGCCUAAAUAGUUAGUUUACUUUUGCUUCACCUCUUGCCAUGUUUAACAACAUUUAAUAUUGUUGGGUACAUAAACGGGAGAGAACUAAAUAAAUGAAUGUGGUGUUUUGUCAAUAUGCAACUCGUUGCAUAUUGAUCUCCACUUAACUUGUAGUACUGCUUGUUGCACUUUACCAUGCCAUGCCUCAUUAAACCGAACAUGCAUCAUACUUGAUUGUGCAUCAUGCCAUGUUUAUGCUUGUGCAUUUACCAUGUUGUUUGUUUCUUUCCGGUGUUGCUUCUUAGUUCCGGUAAUGUUGCGAUUGUGAGGAUUCGUUUGACUGCUCCCGUUCGUCUUCGUCAUGGACUCGUUCUUCUUCCUUGCGGGAUUUCAGGCAAGAUGACGGCUACCCUGGAUCUCACUACUAUCAUUGCUAUGCUAGUUGCUUCGUUCAAUCGCUUUGCUGUGCUACCUAUCAUUUGCUCUUCAAGCCUCCCAAUUGCCAUGUCAGCCUCUAACCUUUUUCGCCCUUCCUAGCAAACCGUUGUUUGGCUAUGUUACCGCUUUGCUCAGCCCUCUUAUAGCAUUGCUAGUUGCAGGUGAAGUUGAAGAUUGCUCCAUGGUGAAUAGGAUUAUGUUGGGAUAUCACAAUAUCUCUUAUUUAAUUAAUGCAUCCAUAUACUUGGUAAAGGUUGGAAGACUCAGCCUUAUGCCUGGUGUUUUGUUCCACUCUUGCCGCCCUAGUUUCCGUCAUACUGGUGUUAUGUUCCCGGAUUUUGCGUUCCUUACGCGGUUGGGAGAUUUAUGGGACCCCUUGACAGUUUGCUUUGAAUAAAACUCCUACAGCAAGGCCCAACCUUGGUUUUACCAGUUGCCUCACAUAGACCUUUUUCCCUUGGGUUUCCGGAGCCCGAGGGUCAUCUUUAUUUUAACCCCCCCGGGCCAGUGCUCCUUCGAGUGUUGGUCCGAAACGGGCAGACUGCGGGGCCACCUCGGGGCAACUCGAGGGCUGGUUUUACUCGUAGGCUGACCUAUCCAGUGUGCCCUAAGAACGAGAUAUGUGCAGCUCCUAUCGGGAUUUGUCGGCACAUCGGGCGGCUUUGCUGGUCUUGUUUUACCAUUGUCGAAAUGUCUUGUAAACCGGGAUUCUGAGUCUGAUCGGGUCUUCCUGGGAGAAGGAAUAUCCUUUGUUGAUCGCGAGAGCUUAUCAUGGGCUAAGUUAGGACACCCCUGCAGGGUAUAAACUUUCGAAAGCCGUGCCCGCGGUUAUGGGCAGAUGGGAAUUUGUUAAUGUCCGGUUGUAGAUAACUUGACACCAGAUCCGAAUUAAAAAGCAUCAACCGCGUGUGUAGCCGUGAUGGUCUCUUUUCGGCGGAGUCCGGGAAGUGAACACGGUUUCUGGGUUAUGAUUGACGUAAGUAGGAGUUCAGGAUCACUUCUUGAUCAUUGCUAGCUUCACGACCGUUCCGCUUGCUCUCUUCUCGCUCUUAUUUGCGUAUGUUAGCCACCAUAUAUGCUUAGCCGCUGCUGCAACCUCACCACUUUACCCCUUCCUUUCCCUUUAAGCUUUGCUAGUCUUGAUACCCAUGGUAAUGGGAUUGCUGAGUCCUCGUGGCUCACAGAUUAGUACAAAAAUAGUUGCAGGUACAGGUUAUGCGAUGAUCAUCACGCGAGAGCGAUGCUUGCUUGCAUUGAGUUCGUCUUCUGCUUCUUCGAUCAGGGGAUAGGUUCCAGGUCGGCAGCCUGGGCUAGCAGGGUGGAUGUCAUUUGAGUUUCUGUCUGUGUUUCAUCCGUAGUUGGAUGGUGCUCUUAUGUAAGAUGAUGUUGUAUUUGUGUGGCAUUGUAUGCCUUAUGUAUGUAUCCCCAUCUAUUAUGUAAUGUUGAUGUAAUGAUAUCCACCUUGCAAAAGUGUUUCAAUAUGCGGUUCUAUCCUUGGUGGGACCUUCGAAUCUCUUUAGGAUAGUAUCGCAUAUUGGGCGUGACAAGUUCGUAUCAGAGCCUCGACCAACCAUAGGAGCCCCCUUGAUUGUUGGUCGUUGUUGAGUCUAAAAAAACUAUUUGGAGUCUUAGGAUUAUAUAUAUCGGAGAGUUGGAAUUCUUUUUACUCCUCGGCCUCCUUCGUCGCUCUGGUGAGGACUCCUGACGUAGAUGUUUUGUCUUUCCUCUCCUCAAAUUUCACUAAAAAAAUUUUAGGAUCAGGCGGGUAUCUUGGAAUCGUUCCGAUGGUUUUGUGACGAGAACAUUGUUCUUGGUGCCUCCUGUCUAUUAUGUGGCAUUUACCCAGGGAGUUGAGCUCUGAGGUGUUGUCGUCACAAUUUUAUCGUCGCAGUUCUGGAAUACCUGAGUUUUGCCGACAUCGAAAAUCUCUUUUAUGCAGUUGUUGGUGAGAUAACCUCGACGUCACCCAGUACUGGGGCGGGAGUGUCAGGACCCCGAUUCUAUGCCACACCGAUCUAGCGUGCAACACCUCAUAUCACUUUGCGGCCUCACGCACGGUAUUCCCACGGGUGUCGCCUUACCAUGACCGGGACCGUUUGUGCCUUUUGGCACACGUAUAUGAUAGUGUCGCUAGCAUCCAUAUGACAAAGAACACGGGCUGACAUGGCUAGUGGUGAACCCAAAGUGGCACUAAGUUACAGGGACAGGCAUACAUGACCCAGCAUCGAACGUGUCGGUCAUCAGCGAGUGAAUCCGGGCUGUAGCAACUGGGCUAGCAGGACUCCGGUAAACCGGGCUGUAGCAGGCUAACAGGACUCCGGUAGACACCGCGUGACAUUUCCCCGAAGGGACAGACACAAGAACAAAGAAGGACACAUGCCGGCCAGCCUAAGUGUUCCGGAGCAGUAGCAAGCUACCAGGGCUCAGUGGAAGCACUAGGAGACAUUUCCCGGUAAGAGAGGCUACUAAGGAUAAACAACUAGAUAGUCAGAUCCCACACAUAGCAAUACACAUUACACGUACGCAUAUCAUGCAAGUAUGUGCUGUACAACAUGGCAUCACAGCAUAACUCAACAACUCAUAUAGAUAAAGGCUCAGAAGAGCCAACAUAGCAUUUAUUGCAAACAGGGGUCAAAGGACCCAUCAUACAGAGCAUACAAGCAACAAGCGGAAGCAUUACAUGUAUGAGUACAGACAUCUACAAAUGAAAAAGGCUGAAGAGCCUGACUAUCUACAACAUCCGAUCAAGAUCGUAGCUGAGGUACAAGCUACUUGUCGAAGUCCACGAGAACACUAGUAAGACCGAAGUCUCCGCUGCAAAAACAUAAAUAAAGCAACAUGAGUACAAAGGUACUCAGCAAGACUUACAUCAGAUCCUAUCAUACAUGCAUUUGUAUCAAGAGGGUAAUGUGGGGUUUAGUUGCAGCAAGCUAGCUUUGACUCUGUGGCUAUCCUGUUCUACGACUACCAGAACUUCUUUGAGGUGAUAUGGCGCACACGAGUCCACUAAUCACCACACAAUACACUACUAUGGAUUCAUCCCCGUCUCCCUACGAGUAGGCCAUCCAUAGCACUCACACUUGUCUUGAGCAUUUUAGAGUAUCCACUUUAAGUUGUCUAUGUACCAUGUAAGCAUCCAAGAAGUCCAUAACCGCGGACCUGGCUAUUCGAAUAGAUCAUGUUAACCCUGCAGGGGUGUACUUCUUCACACACGCUCUCGCCACUUACCGCCAUGUACACGUCAUGUAUCUCGGCAACCUUCAAGCGGAAGCCUGGCGAGGGUGUCGGCCACGACCUGACUAACCACACAAGACUCUAGUCCAGGUUUAUUGCCUAUUCGGGUUCCAUCCGCAAGGAGAUCCGGCCGGGGUGUCGCUCAAGGCCCCAAACGAUGUGUGCAGGGUUCCCGAGCCCACCAUCCGGGUGCCACUCGGUACACCAGGCCACGUGUGCCUAGUCUGUCCCAAGCCCACCCUGCCGGGUGCCACUUGGUAGAAAAAUAGCACUACCUACAAACACCAAAAACUAGUUUCGACUCCUGGACAGAGAUCAAGUCAGUUAAUAAGUCGAGAGAGUCAAUUAAGGAUCCCAAUGUCUGGUAGUAUCGAGUCAUUGGACAACAUACAUAGAAUUCAGUGCUUAAGGACGGCUCCAGUAUGACAACCCACCAUGUACUCCUACAUGGCCUCUCACCGCUACCUUUACCAAAUCGUGUUCACACACUUCACUCUCAGCAUCAGAACAUAGAACACUGCACUCCAAUUCAUUUCCAAUGAAUCAGACCUGACACACUCUAAGCAAUAGUAGGCAUGGCAUGGUAGGAACACAACAAUGGCUUCAAUCAACUCCUACACAUGCUAGUGGGUUUCAACUAUUUACUGUGGCAAUGACAGGUCAUGCAGAGGAAUGGGUUCAACUACCGCAGCACAAAGUAGCAGAUGAAUCGUUGUUGUCCUAAUGCAAUAACUGAGAGCAGGAGCGAGAGAGUAGGAUUGUAUCGGAAUGAACAAGGGGGUUUGCUUGCCUGGUAGAUCAACAGGGUGGCACUGCUCCUUAGACAGGUACUCUGGAACACUCUCCGGAGCAGGACCUAUCGAGAGGUAACGGUGCCAACAAUCAAUACACAAGCAUAUGCAACAAUAUGAUGCAUGAACAUGGCAUGUAGAUGUGAUGCUGAUUGAGCUAAUGCAACUAGCAUUCUGUCUGAAUGAAGUCCAUUUGAACCAAGGGUUCAAAUGCAACUCCAGACUUAACAUUUAUAAAUGCCAUUCAUAUGUUUUCACCUAUACAGCAUGUUUAGGUUGGUUUGUCAUGCACGAAACUGGUACAAAUGGAAAGAUUGCAUUUUUCUGAUAAUUUUUCAUAUAUAAAUUAUUUCAAUCUGAGUUACGGUUGAAUUUCUAUGAUUUUUUGAAGUUUAAAUCAUUUUCUGGAAUUUCCUGAUUUAAUUUAAAUCCAGAAAAGAAUUAACUGCGUCAGCACUGCGUCACUGUGAUGUCAGCGAGUCAACUGCGGCUGACCAGGUCAAACCUGACCAGUGGGGUCCACACGUCAGUGACUCAGGGUUAAACAGGGGUUAGUUUAAGCCUAAUUAAAAGAUUAGGGCGCCGGGGCCCACUGUCAGUGUCAGGGGGUUAGAUUAGGUGGUGAUUAGCUUAAGCUAAUCACCUGACGAGCCGGACCCACCUGACAGGCCGGCGCGGUCAAGGCGGUCAACCCCACCGGCGUUAAGCCGCCGACGAGGCCCGAAACGGCGGAGCGCCGCGGAAACGGGCUACGGUGCCCCGUUCGCAGCGUGGCUAGGCUCGUUUGAGAGCCCAGACCAGCGCACGUCAGGCGGUGGUGCCAGCCGGGCCUGGGGUGGCCGGAGGCGACAUCGAGGAGCUAGGCCGCGGCGGCCGGAGCUCAGGUGAGGCGCGAGCUGCGCUGUGGUGCGCGUGCGGGAGAGUUGGAGUGCUGGUGUGUGCGUGCGCGAUGCGGCGAGGGCGAUGGACACGCCCGGUGGACCAAAAGGUCGCCGGAGGCGCGUCAGCGGCGAGCGCAGGUGACGGUGGGUGCGGUCGAGCUAGGUGCAGUCGCUACGGCGUGCGAGGAGGAGAACGGAGAGGGGGAGGAGGAGCGUCAGCUCACAGCGGUUGCAGCAGGCGUCGAAGCGGGCUCGGGGACGGCUGGAGUCGGCGGGGCAGCGAGGACGAUCUCCGGCGACCGGAGACGAAGAUGACAGCGAUGGCGGCUCUCCAGGGCUUCCCCCGUCGCGUGGAUCGAUGGAGAGGUGGACGGCGACGUGGCGGAGCUUCUGAGCUGGUCGGAGAGGCGAGGGAGAGGCGGUGGCUACGGUAACGGCGAGCAGCGGCGACGAUGGCGUUCGGCCGUGCACGUGGGAGAGAAACCAGCGGAGGGGGAGGAAUGAGAGAGAGGGAGAGAGGUGCGGGGCGUCGCGUGGCAUCGUCCGGGUCAUCCAGAGCAACGAGGGGCAGGACAGGCAGGCAGGGAGGAGGUGGUGGCGCGGCUGCGGCAUGCUGGCCACACAGCUGCUCCUACUGGCAGGAGCUUGAAGAAGCUCCUGUCAGCUGGGCUGGGCCGCCUGCUGGCUGGGCCGGCCUGCUAGGCCGCUGGGCUGCACAGGGGCUGCAGGUAAGUCCAGGUAGGAUUUCCAUUUCUUUUUCUUUUCUAUUUUUCUGACAUUUGUUUUGAUUUAAUAAUAAUAUUAAAUCAUUUUAUUUACUUAUGCCAAUUUUUGUAGGAACUAGUGGUAUUAUUCCAGAGCUCCUCAACAAAUGGCAUAAUUUUUGGACAUAUAUUAUAUGUAUAACAAAUAUAUAUCCAAUGCAAAUAAUUAUGCAUUAAUUCCAAAUGCCCAAAAUAAAUACUUAUGAGCUCCUAAAAAUAUUGGUUUGAUUCUUAUCUCUGUCCAAUAUUUUCAGAGAGCAACAUGAGCAUUUUCUUGGACCUUGUUGGAGCAAUUUUUAUUUGGGUCAUUUCCAAAAAUGAUUCUGAGGGUUUCACAAAUCCUCAUUUCAAAUUAAAUGGAAUUUAAAUAUGAUGCACAAAUGACUAGCUAGUCUAGGUCAUACCAGAACUAGGGAUGUGACAGGGAGUUCGGGAGUAUUGCCAUAACUCGUAUAAUGGAUGCUUUUCGAAGGUUGAGGUACACGAUUUCCGAAGGUUUCUUGGUUAUGUGUUGACGGAUGGAUACAACUGGAUGUAGGUAUUGUUAGUUUGGGUGAGAUAUAUUGCUUCCCCUGUAUCCCCAACACCAGAUUGCAUAACAAGAAAGUUUCGGGAGUUUAUAGGUGUGAAUUCAAGUAGCUCCUAGAAUAUCUUUCCGACAGAUGCAUGAUAUGGGAUUGGGUAAAUCUCUAUCAUAUGUAUUUGUUCCGGCUUAUUCUGCAAGCCAAUCCUUUGUUUUGUUUUCAGUUGUGGUAUUCGAGUUGCUUCGAUGUCAAGUGUUGAUUCCAUACCUUUCCUAAGCGGUGUUCUCAUAUUUCUAUGGGAGUACUAAUCCUUUUGAUCAUCGAGAUUGACAUGUCAAUUCUUUUCCAAACCAGCGUGCUUCUCUUCAAGUGGAUCCCAUCAUUUUUCCCAGCCGCAAGAUCAACUCUAAGUUUUCUCAUCGGUGUUUGUUUCAUCCAUCCCAAGUUGUCUUUGUUUUCCCCACCCUCCCACCCUUUUUAUUCAAGGACUCAGAUUUCUUAAUCAUUUAUCCUUUUAUUUGUGGGAAGUCUCUUCAUUCUUUUCUUUCAAUGUUCUUAUCCGGUGAUUUCCCAUGAAGAUGCUCAACAGUUUCAAGUUCAUCAUCCUUCAUUGUUGUUUCUUCUCCGAUGGAUCCAAUUCAAGCUUUCGAUAUUCAUCAUAUUCCUUUCCUCGUUUCUAAUGCUUUCUCAUGCCGAUGCACCUCUUAAUCAUUCACUUCUUCCUAUUCAUUUGUUUUGGAGUGCUGAAGAUAUCUCACAAGACUCAUGUUUCCAUUCUUAAUCCGUUCAAGGUAUUUGGAGAUUAUUAUCUCAUUCAAGUCAUUUAAUUCAACCGAUGCAAUCUCUUUUCAAAAUUAUUUCAAUGCCGUUUCUUCUGAGUGGGCCCUAACCCACAGGCCUUUUUCCAGGAUCUUACCUGACUCUUCUAAUUAUCAGGAGCCACUCCCAAAGUCUUUCGAAGUUUGACGUAAGAAUGAAUUUUCAUCAGUCAUAUUCCUUCUCCAAGAUCGCUUUCAGAAUAUUUUCAUCGUUGGUUCAUCAUUUCUAUUCUUCUUUGUUCCGGAGUAUCUCAACAAUUGUCAUGGUGGUUCUCAUCAUCUUUCUCAACAUGUGAAGACCGAAGAAGAGUUUCUCUUAAAUCUUGGUCCAUUUUCUUGAAGAUUCAUGGUUCUAGCUUCAUGCCAUCCUCAUAAUUGUUUUUGAUUGUGGAAAUUCUUUUCACCCAUCCGGAGCAUUUCAUGAGUUGUUUCCAUUUCUUUCCUCCGAAGGCCAUCAUGUCAUAAUUCUUCAUUCUCAGCGUGUAGCUAUCGUUCUCCAAAUCUAUUCGGUGCAUCAUUCAAGUAUUCUCUAAUAAGUUCGUGGUCUCUUUGUUCUCUUGUAUCCAAAUCCCCUCAAGUAUAUUCAUUCGUUUUCCAAUUCUUCCCGGUGAAUUGUGCCUUUGCUACUUUCAUUUUCAAUUCUUACGGCGGUUCGUCCAAGAUUUCACUUCCUUUGUUAUCAUAUCAAUUUAUUCAUUGUUUCCAAAUCCCACCGGUGGUUCCAUCAAUACCUUCUCAAGUUUACGCUAUAUCUUUCUUAAUCCUUUUUCAAGGGGAAUAAGUAGUAUGCCAAAUCCGUUACUUGUCAUCAAUUAAAUUUUAUGAAGGAUAAGCAUACAAUAAAUCUUAUUCUUAUUUCCUCGAGGUGACUCAAUUCUUUUUACGGAGAUUAUUCAUGAUGAAUAAAAUCUUGAUUACAAGUGAUUCAUCUUUCUUUCCGGAGUUGGUCAUCAUAUCACAUUCUCGGUUCGAGAGGCUUCAUCUUUCUUUUCGGAGUUCCAAGCUCCCUCAAUUAUCUCGUCGCGAAGCUCCAUCUAAAUCAUUGCAAGGGUUCACCUUGUGUUUUCAACCUCUAUUUCUUUCUAUCAUCCUUUUAUUACUGGAGUUCUUCAGGGAGGAUCUACAUGGUGCUUCAUCAAGGAUUUAAUUCAUUCUCGAAUUGUUCUUCAAGAUUCUUGUUGGAGGAGUUCAAGCAUUCUUCAUCUUGCAUUCCAAAGUGCAAUUCUUUCUGUCUUAUCUUUUGAGGUGGUGUUAUGUCACUCUUGACAAUUUCCUUCAUGUUUCAUGAUUCAUAUGUUGUCAAGAAUGAGGUAUUUUAAAUCCAUCAUUUUCUCUUUGUUCAAGAGAUCUUUUCGACCAAUCAACUUCUUCGUCGGAGUUAUCUUGUGUCAGAUUUCACCUAAAGCCUUUCCUUAAGGGUUGUUGCUAUUUGUGGUGAUUAUGCAUGACCCAAGCUUGCUCUUUAUCCUCUUGGUGGAAGAAGUUUUCAUCUCUUUGGUGCUGUCAAUCAAAUCAAUGGUUUCCAUUAGUGGCCGGUUGUCACCUCAUAGUCUUGAGAUGUUUUCCAUAAGCCCACCACAAGCUUAUUCUUUUCGUGGUUGGCUUUCCAACAACUUCAUUCUAACCUUCUUGGAAGGGUGCUCUCCAAGUUCUUUUGUGGCAGAAGUUGGCAUUUUCUUCUCCAUUCUAUUAUUCCAAUGAUCUAUCUUCUAUUCUUUCUUCCGGAGGCAUUGUGAUGUUGCGAUUUUCACUCUUCAUCUCGAAUUGUGACGAUCAUGUUAUUUUCGUGCUUAUCCAUUUAACCGGAGUGUUGUGUUCUAAUUCAAGUUCUUUCAACUUGUCAAGUUUUGCCUCUAUUUUCAACCAGAGUGCUGUUUGAAAUCCUUCUUACCCAUUGUGCCAUUCUUUCAAUAGUUCCAGAGGUAGUGUGUUGUUGAUUUCAUCAAGUAUCAUCCCAUCUUCUCAAGCUCAUGUUCUAUUCCUUCCAUGUUCAACCGGAGUGCUGCCCAAAUUCUUCCUCUCUCAUCUUGUUUUAACCGGAGUGGUUUUGAAUUCUAUCAUGUCCAUUAAACUCUUGAUUCAUGUCUUUGCAACCUUCAAGUUAUCGUAAUGUUCCUCGUCCCUCUUUUCUAACGGAUUGUUUGCAAUCUCAUUCAUCUCUGUUGUACUCUUUCUUUUAAAUUGCUCAACCUCUCAAGGUUCAUGGUUUCACUCGUUUGUGGAAGAAGCAACUUAGUUUUACCUCUUCUCUUCCUCUUCCGUUUCUCUCCGGUGUCAUCCUAGAUCUCGGGACGAGAUCCUCUCGUAGUGGUGGAGUGUUGUAACGCCCCGGAUACAACUUCCCAUAAUCGUAACUCCAAUUCUUGCCAUUUCCGGCUAUGUGAUAUGUUAUUUUUCUCCGUGGUUGGAUUUUGUCUUUGUUUUGCAUUUUGUUCAUGUCUUGCAUUUCAUCUCAUAGCAUCAUGCGCAUUGCAUCUGCAUGUUUUCAUAAAAUUAGCAUCCGCUCAUAGUUGCCGCUCCUCGCUUCUCUCCGUUGCAUUCGCUGACCGGUUCGAGAGCAACCGUGUUUUCGUUUCCCUAUUGUCAAACCACCUAACCUCUCUGCAAAGCCACCGACCCCCUCUUGCGCGCGUCCGAAAACUGCUCCAAACCCGAACCGCUCAACCAUCACCGUUGCAUUCAGAUCAUCCCCAAACAUCUAUAAAACAUCUUCGUUUUAUUUAUUGGACUCCCUAACCUAUUUUUCCCGAUCGUCCGAUUUUGGUCGGAGGGACGAAAUAGCCCCAAACCAAAAUCCAGUGCUAUUUAUAGACCAAUCCCCUAGGCAGCAACCCUAAAUCCUAGGACAUUUGUCCCCCUAGCCGCCGCCACUUACAGCCUCCUCCCUCCUCGGAUCUGCCGCCGCCACCCAUCAAAUCCAUCCAUCUGCAGCGCCACCCACCUCCCUCGUUUUCAUCACCGGACCAAUCUCGCGGCCUCUCUUUGAUACCCAGCAGCCGAGCCGCUCACCUGCGAGCGUCUGAGACCCUGCCUCGUCCCCAAGCUCCAACGUCAUGCCCUCUCCCCCCGCGUAGGAGCCCGCACCCGCCUCCGUUCGCCUCCGGCAGCUCGUCGCCGGAGACGCACCAGGCUAGUCCUCGCGCCCCUCUCCUUCAUCUCCCUCUGCUCUAAUCUCUCUCUCUCCCAGAGCUCUCAUAUCUCUCCCUUCGAUUUCUUCUAGCAGGAACAGGACGAAGCCCCAGCUCCCGCCGCCGCCCUGCUUUGUUCAUCGUCGUCUCUGCCCGAUCCGGCGAGGCCCUGCGUCUCCGGCCUCGUCCCCGCCUCCAUGGCCGCCCCGCCAUCAUCAGUGUCGCGCCGCCGUUCCCUGCAUCAGCUCCGCUUGACGCCAUGGCCGACGACCUCCUCUGCGCCCCGUCGACCGCGUCAGCGCACGCCUUGUCGCCGUUUUACCCAGCCGCCGUCAAGUUCGCGUUCGGCCUUGGAUUCGGACGAAAUCGAGCUUCCCCGACUGGAUCCGCUCCUCCUAGCCUCAUUUGUUUCACCAGGAGCUCGCGCCAAGUCCACCGUUGUCGUUCUGCUUCAUGGAGACGAGGACGAGCAUGAGCCCUUGCCUCUUGCCGCGUCCGCAGCCUGCCUCCUCUCCAGCGUCGCGCCCAAGUCCCACGUCGCCGGCAGCCGUUCCCGCCGUCCGUCGCCAUGAACCUGCUGCUGUCGCCUCUGUUCUUCAGUUACGAGAGCAGCAGCAGCUCGCCCGUUCCUUCGUUGACCGUGUCUCCAGCGCCUGGGCCAGCGCCUCCCCAGGCCCAGUGCCCCUUCCAGCCUCCCUCUCCAUCGGCUGGGCCUGGCCCAUGGGUGAGCAGCCCCCAGGGCACAUCCUCUUGUUUUUUUCACCUAUCGGGCCAGCCAGAUUCGGCCCAGUGUAGUUUUUAUUCAGAUCUGCGAAUUUGUCUUUUAUCCAGUGCAUGCAUAAUUACAGGAGGAUGCCAUUAUUUUAAAUUGCUCACGAGUAAAUAACCGUGCAUCGGAUUUAAAUGAUUUAAACAUGUAAAAUGCUUAGAAUUUUGUGUAAAUUAAUAAUUUGCCACUUUCAUCCAUGUUAAAUAUGCUUAAAAUGUUGUUUGCAUUUAUUUUUCUAAAUGCCAUGUUAAAAUGAUUUGUUUCAUAACUAAAUAAUCGAAGCUCCGUUUUAAAUAAACUUUAUAUGUAAAUGGGGUGGAAAAAUGCCUAGUUUAACAUGGUGGACUUUAUUUUCCUGUUUAACAACUCUAAAAUAUUGUUUUAGGCAGAACAGUACCAAACUCAAAAUAUGCACAUGGGGAUUUUCCGAAAUUGUUGGUUGUUGUUUCCGGCCUCAUUUAAACUUGCCUAAAUAGUUAGUUUACUUUUGCUUCACCUCUUGCCAUGUUUAACAACAUUUAAUAUUGUUGGGUACAAAAAAGGGAGAGAACUAAAUAAAUGAAUGUGGUGUUUUGUCAAUAUGCAACUCAUUGCAUAUUGAUCUCCACUUAACUUGUAGUACUGCUUGUUGCACUUUACCAUGCCAUGCCUCAUUAAACCGGACAUGCAUCAUACUUGAUUGUGCAUCAUGCCAUGUUUAUCCUUGUGCAUUUACCAUGUUGUUUGUUUCUUUCCGGUGUUGCUUCUUAGUUCCGGUAAUGUUGCGAUUGUGAGGAUUCGUUCGACUGCUCCCGUUCGUCUUCGUCAUGGACUCGUUCUUCUUCCUUGCGGGAUUUCAGGCAAGAUGACCUCUACCCUGGAUAUCACUACUAUCAUUGCUAUGCUAGUUGCUUCGUUCUAUCACUUUGCUGCGCUACCUAUCAUUUGCUCUUCAAGCCUCCCAAUUGCCAUGUCAGCCUCUAACCUUUUUCGCCCUUCCUAGCAAACCGUUGUUUGGCUAUGUUACCGCUUUGCUCAGCCCUCUUAUAGCGUUGUUAGUUGCAGGUGAAGUUGAAGAUUGCUCCAUGGUGAACAGGAUUAUGUUGGGAUAUCACAAUAUCUCUUAUUUAAUUAAUGCAUCUAUAUACUUAGUAAAGGGUGGAAGACUCGGCCUUAUGCCUGGUGUUUUGUUCCACUCUUGCCGCCCUAGUUUCCGUCAUACCGGUGUUAUGUUCCCGGAUUUUGCGUUCCUUACACGGUUGGGUGAUUUAUGGGACCCCCUUGACAGUUUGCUUUGAAUAAAACUCCUCCAGCAAGGCCCAACCUUGGUUUUACCAUUUGCCUCACCUAGACCUUUUUCCCUUGGGUUUCCGGAGCCUGAGGGUCAUCUUUAUUUUAACCCCCCCCCACCCCCGGGCCAGUGCUCCUUCGAGUGUUGGUCCGAAAUGGGCAGACUGCGGGGCCACCUCGGGGCAACUCGAGGGCUGGUUUUACUCGUAGGCUGACCUAUCCGGUGUGCCCUGAGAACGACAUAUGUGCAGCUCCUAUCGGGAUUUGUUGGCACAUCGGGCGUCUUUGCUGGUCUUGUUUUACCAUUGUCGAAAUGUCUUGUAAACCGGGAUUCCGAGUCUGAUCGGGUCUUCCUGGGAGAAGGAAUAUCCUUCGUUGAUCGCGAGAGCUUAUCAUGGGCUAAGUUGGGACACCGCUGCAGGGUAUAAACUUUCGAAAGCCGUGCCCGCAGUUAUGGGCAGAUGGGAAUUUGUUAAUGUCUGGUUGUAGAUAACUUGACACCAGAUCUGAAUUAAAACGCAUCAACCGCAUGUGUAGCCGUGAUGGUCUCUUUUUGGCGGAGUCCGGGAAGUGAACACGGUUUCUGGGUUAUGAUUGACGUAAGUAGGAGUUCAGGAUCACUUCUUGAUCAUUGCUAGCUUCACGACCGUUCCGCUUGCUCUCUUCUCGCUCUUAUUUGCGUAUGUUAUCCACCAUAUAUGCUUAGUCGCUGCUGCAACCUCACCACUUUACCCCUUCCUUUCCCUUUAAGCUUUGCUAGUCUCGAUACCCAUGGUAAUGGGAUUGCUGAGUCCUCGUGGCUCACAGAUUACUACAACAACAGUUGCAGGUACAGGUUAUGCGAUGAUCAUGACGCGAGAGCGAUGCUUGCUUGCAUUGAGUUCUUCUUCUGCUUCUUCGAUCAGGGGAUAGGUUCCAGGUCGGCAGCCUGGGCUAGCAGGGUGGAUGUCGUUUGAGUUUCUGUUUGUGUUUCAUCCGUAGUUGGAUGGUGCUCUUAUGUAAGAUGAUGCUGUAUUCGUGUGGCAUUGUAUGCCUUAUGUAUGUAUCCCCAUCUAUUAUGUAAUGUUGAUGUAAUGAUAUCCACCUUGCAAAAGCGUUUCAAUAUGCAGUUCUAUCCUUGGUGGGACCUUCGAGUCUCUUUAGGAUAGUAUCGCAUAUUGGGCGUGACAGGUAUGGACUUGAUCCUUGUGCUAAUCUCACUCCGAUUCUUAGCACAUUGUGUUUGCCAUGUAUCUUGCCACGAUUGAGAUCAUCAUAUCCAGCGAAAACGCUCCGUAGAUUAGGUUUGGAUUGAAAAUUUAGGGUUAGGUUUCCGCCGAAACCAUCUCGGACCGACCGAGUUGUAGAAAUCGGUUGCACUGAUUUGGCCAAGGCCAUUGCACAUGUGAUUCUCGGUCUAACCGAGAAUUGCAAAUCGGUGUGACUGAGUUCAGGACUUUGUGAAACCCUAGCAGUCUCGGUGCCACCGAACUAUGACUCGGUCUGACCGAGUUCACUAGUUUAUGUUCCAAAAGCUGCUUCGGUAUCACCGAGUUUACAAAUUGGUAGAUCCGAAAUGCUUUCUGUGGAAAACUAAAACUAAGUUUUUGACUCAUUCUUUUGCAAAAAACCUAUGUAUUUUGUGAUGCUCAUCCUAUCUACCUCAUCUAUAUCUAUUCACAGGGUCUGCUGUCAGUGUUUGCAACAUGUCUGAUCAAAGUGACAGUCAGAACAAGUCUGAGGAGCAGGUUCACAUGAGUGAGGGCACUAGUCCCUAUAGAAGCUAUGAUGGUAGCAGGAGCACACCCAGCAACAUGCCUAAGGCAGCCACCAGGGCCAGAAAGAAGAAAACCUCAGAGUCUGAGGAUGAAGACUAUGUGGCUCUAGAGGAUGAGGCCACUUCCAAGAAUAAGGUGCUCAAGAAGGAAUAUGGCACAACUGCUGCCACUAAGCCUGGUAUGAGGACCAAAGCACCUGCUAGAAGAAUUCCCAUGUCCGAAACAAGAGGCUCCACUCAAGUGCCUUUGGAAUCUAAACCAAAAGAGGCUACUGAAGAAGGGAAGAAUAGGAAGGAAAGGGUCAACAAGACCAUGGCCAGGGUUGUUGGAAAGCCUUCCAUAAUGGAAGAGGAAGAAUAGGAAGAGUUUGCUGCACCAGCACCUAAAGCUCAGAAGCUUAUGGGUGAUGCCAUCAGGUCAGGGGCUGCUUCAUCAAAUCCCAAAGAAGCUCCCAAGGCAGCUGCUCCAAAGCCUAAAGCUGCACCCAAUAGGAAUACUAGGAACAUUCCUGCUGGAGAAAAGAACAAGGCCCCAGUGCCUGAAGUUGCUGUUGAAGAAGAAGAUGAUGAGGAACAAUGCUUGAGAAAGUUGAAGCCCAAAAUUCUAGAUCACAAUGAUGUUCAUCCUGUAGCUGAGGAUAUGAAGCUGAGAAAGGAUGCAGGACUCAGGCAGUGGAGAUUAACUGAUCCUUAUGCAGUCAGGAGGAGAACUGCUGUGGUCUACAGGUUCCAUACUAAGGAAGCAUGACUUCUAUGAGACAGUGCUGCUUGACAAGAAGCCAAUUGUCUGUGACAUGAGAUGGGUGGACUGGAAAUAUAUCAAGGAAAAUGAAGAGCACUAUCCUGGAGUGUAUGACAGUUUCAAUGCUUGUGGAGUGGAUGACUUUGUUGGGCAGAAGCUCACAAAGUGGAAUGAUGAGCUCAUAAUGCAGUUCUACUCCACAACACACUUCUAUCCAGAUGGAAGGAUAGUAUGGAUGUCUGAAGGUACUAGGUACCAAACAACUAUUGAAGAAUGGGAAAAUCUGAUCAAUGCACCUAAGGAGAAAGAGGAUGACUUGAAUGUCUAUGCCAAGAAGAUGAAGGAUCACAACUCUAUGGCACAUAUGUACAGGGAGAUCCCAGAUGCUGCUAUUGAAACACACAAGUUUGGAUCAGUACAUUACCUUCUGUCAGGAUUGCCAACCAUCAACUGGAUCCUCAGGCACACUCUUCUGCCUAAGUCAGGUGAGCACAAGAUGAUCAGAGGCCAUGCUAUAAUCUGCUUCACAUUUUUAAUUUGCCUCAAAAGUUCAAGGUCAUGAGCCUCAUAGUGGAAACUAUCAAGAGGACAGCUGCUGACCAAAAGAGAAGUUGUGGGUAUGCCCCACAGAUCCAGGAGCUAAUCUACUCCAAGAUGGGCACUGGCACAUACCUCUUGGAAAAGGAUCACAUGCCCAUCUAUCCAGAUUUUGAGGACAACACAGUGGUUAUGGAUGAAGAUGAACCAUCUUCUGUGCAAGCACAAGCAAAGAAGGAGAAGGCAAGGACUGAAAAGGCUACCAAGAUGCCAACCAUUAAUGAGGCAUCUCAGUACUUCCUGAAGAGCAAGCAAGAUCUGCUUGGCUACUUGAUUGCCUCCACUCUGAGGAUUGAGAAGGGAUUGGCCACCCUGACUCAAAACCAGGAGAGCCUGGAGAGGAUCAUGGAACAGAAGUUCUAUGACUUGGAUAUGAAGGUCGCUGAGAUACAAUCAGUUGUUGAGCAACUUCAAGAUGACAUGCAGGAGAGGAAGGGCAAUACUACCACUGAUGCGUUUGCUAGAGUGCCCAUAGCUCAGAGAUCUGCUGCAGUGCCUGUUCCAGACACAAGAGCAACUUCAUCUGCACCAGCUACAGAUUUAGUGCCACCAGCUCCAGCACCUACUCCACCAGCUCCAUCUUCAUCAACUGAUGCUUUCGUCCUUGGCGUUAUCUCUACACCACCACCUGAAUACCAAGCCUGAGAGUCGAUUUAGUCCUGUGCAUUUUCUAUGAACUUUUUGGUAACUUGUUGCCAAAGGGGGAGAAAAAUGUAUAGAUCAUAGGCUUCGAGAGAGAGCAUUGCUUUUUAUUCUCUCUUGUUUUGGUGGUUGAACUUUGUUUGCUUGUUUGAUAUACCUUAUGCCUGUGUGAUACUUGGAUGAUCAUGUGUUUGAUCAUAUGCUACAUUAAUGCUUGUUGGAUGACAUUAUCCUUUUAUCUCUAUAUGAUCAUUCACUUUGCUUGGUGAUGAGUGCAUGUAUGUUAAUUAUUAUCAUUUUGAGUGCUCCACCAAGAUGUAUGUGACAUGGAAGAGUAACUCAUGAUCCUAACUCAUUGUGCAUUUGCAGUCCAAAGCAAAUCUUAAACUAUGCACAAAUUUAGGGGGAGCUCUAACAUUUCACAUACUUCUCAAAGCGACAAUGUUUUUCAAUCUUAUUAUCAUUUGUCGAAGCUUUGAUCUAUAUGUUGUCAUCAAUUACCAAAAAGGGGGAGAUUGAAAGUGCAACUAUCCCUAGGUGGUUUUGGUAAUUCCUAACAACAUAUAGCUCAUUGAGCUAAUGCUAUUUCUAGAUAAAUAUUUCAGGAAAGCUCAAUGAAUGGCAUGUCAUGGAUGAGAAAAGUGGACCCCUCAAAAUGCUAAGGAUAAAAGGAUUGGCUCAAGCUCAAAGCUCAAGAUUCUACAUUUUAUAUUUUAGUGAUCCAAGAUCACAUUGAGUCUAUAGGAAAAGCCAAUACUAUCAAGGAGGGAUGAAAUGUUGCUUAAUGGCUUACUUGCUCAAAGUGCUUAGUGAUAUGCUCCAAAGCCCUCAACUACUUUCUCACAUCGACAUAUGACCUAAACCAAAAGUCAAACUCGGCGCCACCGAUUCUUUCUAUCCGGCACCACCGAGUCCAGAUGUCAUAGCCACUGCCACAAACGCUAGGCAAAUCGGUCUCAUCGAUAGGGAUCUCGGUCUCACCGAGAUGGGAUUGUAAUCUCUCUGUUUCCCUUUGUAACGUUUCGGUAACACCGAGAUGAGCGAUCGGUCCCACCAAGAUUGCAAUGUAAACUCUCUGUUUCCCUUUCAUAACAUUUUGGUCUCACCGAAAUGAGCGAACCGGUCCGACCGAGUUUACCUGACCAACUCUCUGGUUAGCUUAUUACCAAAAUCGGUCCCACCGAGUUUGUGUAAUCGGUCUCACCGAGAUUAAGUUAUGCCCUAACCCUAACCAUAUCGGUCCUACCGAGUUGCAUGUCGGUCCCAUCGAAAAUCCAAACGGUCACUAGAUUGGCUGAAUUGGUCCGACCAAGUUUCUCAAUUCGGUCCCACCGAGAUUGGCAAGUUGUGUGUGACGGUUAGAUUUUGUGUGGAGGCUAUAUAUACCCCUCCACCUCCUCUUCAUUCGUGGAGAGAGCCAUAAGAACAAACCUACACUUCCAACUUACAUUUUCUGAGAGAGAACCACCUACUCAUGUGUUGAGACCAAGAUAUUCCAUUCCUACCAUAUGAAUCUUGAUCUCUAGCCUCCCCCAAGUUGCUUUCCACCAAAUCCAAAUCCUGUGAGAGAGAGUUGAGUGUUGGGGAGACUAUCAUUUGAAGCACAAGAGCAAGGAGUUCAUCAUCAACACACCAUUUGUUACCUCUUGGAGAGUGGCGUCUCCUAGAUUGGCUAGGUGUCACAUGGGAGCCUCUGACAAGAUUGUGGAGUUGAACCAAGGAGUUUGUAAGGGCAAGGAGAUCGCCUACUUCAUGAAGAUCUACCGCUAGUGAGGCAAGUCCUUCGUGGGUGAUGGCCAUGGUGGGAUAGACAAGGUUGCUUCUUCGUGGACCCUUUUUGGGUGGAGCCCUCCGUGGACUCACGCAGCCGUUACCCUUCGUGGUUGAAGUCUCCAUCAACGUGGAUGUACGAUAGCACCACCAAUCGGAACCACGACAAAAACAUUCGUGUCUCCAAUUGCGUUUGAAUUAUCCAAACCCUUCCCUUUUACAUUCUUGCAAGUUGCAUGCUUUACUUUCCGGUGCUCAUAUACUCUUUGCAUGCUUGCUUGAAUUGUGUUCAGAUUGCUUGACUUGUGCUAAGUUAGCUAAAAUCUUCCAAAGACUAAAAUUGGGAAAAGGAUACGUUUUUAUUUGGUCAAGUAGUCUAAUCACCCCCCCCCUCUAGACAUACUUCUGAUCCUACAGUCGCCCAGCCCUGGCCAAGUUCAUGGCGGCAUCCUACUAUGCCUACAACACCUUGAAGAUGUUGGGGCCGGUUGUCAUCAUUUCUAUUCCAUCAGACGAGAAGGACACAAUCAUUUGCGUGGACAAGAUGUAUUGGGACGCAGUUGCGGCAUAGGACGCGGAAUCCACUGUUCCCGUCAAGAAAAAGAAGAAAGCUAACAAGGGCUCCAAUGAGGAUUCCAGGAAGCGUGCCUCUUCAAAGUGUGUUGCGCCUGUUGAUGACUUGCCGUAGAGUUCCAAUAGCAAGAGAUCGAAAGCUUCUACGUCUUCUGUGAAGAAGGUCCCGGCAGGGCUGGCUGGCACUGAUGGUACCUUUACUAUCAGUGCCACCCUUGAUGACAAAUAGUAAAGCACGCUCAUUGCCAUCCUACGGGCUAAUGUCGAUGUGUUUGCAUGGCAACCAUCUGCCAUCCCUGGUGUUCCUAGGGAGGUAAUCAAGCACCACCUUGUUGUCUGCCCACAUGCCCAACCCGUUAAGCAGAAGGUCCGAAAGCAAGCUUUGGAACGGCAGCAGUUCAUUGCGAGGAAAUUAAGAAACUUGAGGCAGCUGGUCUGGUCAGAGGAGUAUUGCAUCCAACGUGGUUAGAAAACCCAGUGGUAGUGCGCAAGGCUAAUGGGAAAUGGAGGUUGUGCAUAGGUUUCACAGAUCUGAACAAGGCCUGCCCGAAGGACCCAUUUCCCUUGCCGCGCAUCGAACAGAUUGUGGAUUCCACCUCCGGGUGCAAGCUGCUUUCUUUUUUGGAUGCCUUCUCUGCAUACCAUCAGGUCUUUAUGUCCAAGGAAUAUGAAGAGAAGAAUGCGUUCAUCACCCCGUAUGGCACGUAGUGCUUUGUACGGAUGCCUUUCGGGUUGAAGAGCGCCGGAUCCACCUUUGCAAGGGCAGUCUAGAUUGGUUUUGAGUCACAAUUGCACAUAAACGUUGAAGCAUGCAUAGAUGAUAUUGUGGUCAAGACCAAGGACAGAUCAACCCUCAUCCAUGAUUUGGAAGAGAGCUUUGCUAAUCUGCGCAGGAUCAACUUGAAGCUGAACCUGGAGAAGUGUGUGUUUGUUGUCCCUUCCGGCAAAUUACUUGGCUUCUUUGUGUCUCAUCGUGGGAUAGAAGCCAACGCCGACAAGAUCAAGGCUAUCAAGCAGAUUCAAGCACCCAAGACACUCAAGGAUGCAAGGCGUUUGACUGGAUGUGUUGCCGCGCUCAGUAGGUUCAUUUCCAAGUCUGCCUAGCGUGCCUUGCCGUUCUUCAAAAUCUUGAAGAAGGCAUGACCCAUGGAGUGGACUCCAGAGGCAGACGCUGCACUGCAAGAUUUGAAGGCCUACUUGUCCUCUGUACCCACUUUGGUAGCUCCCAAACCACAAGAGUCGUUGCUGCUAUACUUGGCGGCAACUAAUCAAGUGGUUAGCACCGAAAUAAACUCAAGCAAUAUGAUGUAAACCCCAUCUUUUUAUCCUCGAUGGCAACAAUACAAUACGUGGCUUGCAGCCCCUACUGUCACUGGGAAAGGACACCGCGAGAUUGAACCCAAAGCUAAGACCUUCUCCCAUUGCAAGAAAAACCAAUCUACUUGGCCAAACUAACCCGAUAGGUCGAGGAGAAUUACAAAAAUAUCAAAUCAUGCACAUAAGAAUUCAGAGAAGAUUCAAAUAAUAUUCAUACAUAAGCUGAUCAUAAAUCCACAAUUCAUUAGAUCUCGUGAAACACACCGCAAAAUAAGAUUACAUCGGAUAGAUCUCCAAGAACAUCGAGAAUAACAUGGUAUUGAGAAUCAAAGAGAGAGAAGAAGCCAUCUAGAUACUAGCUAUGGACCCAUAGGUCUGAGGUGGACUACUCAUGCUUCAUCGGAAGGGUAAUAGAGUUGAUGUAGAAGCCCUCCAUGAUCGAAUCCCCCUUUGGCAGGAUGCUGGAAAAGGCCCCUAGAUGGGAUCUCACGGGAACAGAUGGUUGCGAUGGUGGAAAAGUGUUUCCGUGGAUGCUUCUAGUGGUCUGGGGAUAUAUGUGAAUAUAUAGGACAAAAAAUUAGGUCAGGGGAGUCCCGAGGGGCCCACAAGGCAGGGGGCGCACCCUACGCCCCUGGGCACGCCCUCCCCCCUUGUGGCUGCCUCGUGCUCUUCGAACUUGAUCUCCAAGCCUCUUGGGUGUCUUCUGGUCCAAGAAAAAUCAUCGCGAAGGUUUUAUUCCAUUUGGACUCUGUUUGGUAUUCCUUCUCUAUGAAGCUCAAAAACAAGGGGAAAACCCCAGAAAUUGGCACUGGGCUCUAGGUUAACAGGUUAGUCCCAAAAAUAAUAUAAAAUAGCAUAUUAAUGCAUAUAAAACGUCCAAAAUAGAUAAUAUAAUAGCAUGGAACAAUCAAAAAAUUAUAGAUAUGUUAGAGACAUAUCAGCAGCCCAUUGGAAGACAGAUUACCCUUAUGUGACACCCGUUCAGAAGCAUGUCAAGCAGAUAAGUAGGAGAUGAUUAUGCGGCAUGGCAGGCUUGCCGAGCUUCGCCCUCAGCAUGACACCUAGUAGUGCAUUUAAUGCACUUUGUCCUAACUGCCAGAGUUAGGUAUGAUAGCACUGUUAGCUACCUAAUCAUUAUAUAAUGACUGUUUUACCACUGUGGUCACUCCUUGAGCUGUAAAAGGAGGUCAAAGGCAACAUAGAAAAGGAUUCGGACCCCUCACACUUGUACGCAUGUAGCUGCUCCUCCCCCAAGGCAAUCUUGCCGGGCUUUGCACGCUGUUGUAUUCCUCCACUCAAUCCACCAAAGCAGGAGUAGGGUUUUACGCCUCACGGUGGCCCGAACCUGGGUAAAAAACCAUCGGUGUCAUCGUUGUCGCGCUGCCUCAUGGCUUCCGCUCUUUUUGUAAUGUGACCUUCCCACUUGCCGAACCACAAAGGGCCUCAUGGCCCCAUAGGUGUACAUGUUCCACCACGACAUUUUUGGCGCGCUAGGUAAGGGGAGCAUUUGCGCGAACCCGAAGCUGUGAAUAGCAUGUCAAUCGUCACCAUCAUCUUCAUCGUCACCGCCAGGACGAUGCAAUUUUGUAGAUUUGUCCCUUCCAAACUCCGCCGCUCGUUUCCUCCGCAGUGGAGGUGCCGGUGAGGUCGAGGGACAACCGCGCUGCAUGAGUACUAUGGUUGGUACAAGUGAUGUGGCCACCAUGUUGCCAGUGACAAGAAGAUGGCGUGAGGCGUGCGGCUGUGCCUCCCUCCUGGCGAUCUCCCGUCGGCACACUUCGGACCCCAAAGAGGUGUUGCUUGGACGGACUGACCAGAGAAAUGAUGCGUGAUUGGCCUCCCCCUCCUUUCACACUCGCCAAUGACCGGGUCGAACAAUGGUGAUGUCGGCAGCGUCGAUGAGCCCGCGUAAAACUCAGUCCUGUAUUUAUUCCACCAAGGAUAAAUCCUAAGUUGAGUGUUGCUGUGAAUCCCUUGGUUGACGCCCCGGCAAGCACUACAAAAAAAUACACUUCCGUGAUGAUACGUGUUUGUCACAGUAGGUCAUGUUUUUUGUCAUGCAUGUACAUCCAUGAUGAUUUUAUGACAGAAUCAAGAUAGUCAUACCUGUGCUGUCGUAGAAGUGUUCCAUGACAUUACCAAAACUAUCAUCACCGAAGUGUCCAAUUCCAUGACAAUAAAUCACGCGUCAUAGAAGUGCUUUCGUCAAGGGUGACCGACACUUGGCAUCCACCAUAACGGGUCGUCGUUAAGCUAUCGGGUUCCGGUUUGGAUCCGAUAACCCGUUAACAGCCCCGACCAAUGGGGAUUUUACACGUGUAAAAUUCCCAUUCGCCAGAGGAUCCACGUGUCGGCUCAGCGUUGGGACAGAUGUCAUCCACUCAUAGUACCGGAGGUGCCUGUGAUACGUCUACAUGUGGCAAGGCCCACCAGUGGCCCAUUUCGGUGAAAAAGGUCGGCCCAGUAAAAAUUAGUAGGCCGGGCCAUAUAAGGCCUACUUGUGUCAGGUCCAUUUAAGCCCACGACCCAUACGAGAUGUGCCAAUUCGGCCCGUCAAUGACUCGUUAAUGAUUUUUCACCAUUGCAGCCCAACGUCAGUUCGAGCCCGUUAAGAUCCCGCUAUAUAUUUGGGCUCAAUAUCGGCCCAUGUGGUUUCGGCCUGUUAACGGCCCAUCUAAGGUAUGGGAAAAAUUUGAGGAUGUACGACUUUUGACCUUUUAGAGACCCAUUUAAGUGCUGGGCCAAUUUCUGGUCCGGUGUGUCUUUCAACCUGUUAACGGCACAUAAAUGAGCUGGGCCACUUGCAGUCGGACCUGAGUCUUGGCCUUUUUAUGGCCCAUGCUCUUCAUGGUCUAAUACCAGCCCGGUUUCUCUUUUGGCCUGUUAAAGGCCCACAACACAGUUGGGCCAUAUACAAUACGACCUUACUUUCGGCCUCUUAGCGGCCAAUGCUCUUCAUGGUCCAGUACGAGCCUGCUUUCUCUUUCGGUCUGCUAAAGGCCCACGGUAUAGUUGGGCCAUAUGUAGGCCAACCUUAGUAUCAGCAUGUUAACGGCCCAUGAAAUUAAAUGGGCCCACCUGUUGCUCGCUUCGAUGUCGACCUGUUAACGACCCGGGAGGUAACAGGGCCGAGCAUUAACUAUCGGCCGGAUUGACCUUUCGGCCUGGUUACGGCCCAUUAACUUAAUGGGCCCACUAAAGUUUGAACAUGUGUGUAGGCCUAAUUAGAUAAUUUGAGCCCAUUACGAUGAGCAAUUAUGCACAGGACCAAAACCGAUCAAUGAAAGGCCUAUGAGAAUUUUGGCCCCUGAGUGCCCAUUAGGGAAUCCCAUUAAGGGCAGUGGGUUGCUUCCUUCAUAUAAGGCCCGUGACUAUUCGUGCUAACUAAUAAUUUCACUGCUUUUUUAGCUUCCUAGCGACCAGUUAGCUGGAAUGCGAGGCGUGCUAAGCAAAGGUAUGGCAUACAAGGAAAAACAUUGCACAUCUAGCAUAUAUUACAGGAAAUUACAUCCACUGGGCAAUCAAAGAUUAAUGCCAGUGCAAAUAAAUGAACAAAACCUAACGAUUUACAACGUCACAAUCUGCAACCUCAGCACGGAUGAUGCCCAGAAUCACGUGAGCAAGUUCUUCCUUCUUUGCUACACUGUCUCUGAAAACAUUGAUCAGUUGUUGUUGCGCAAGAAUGUGCACCUCUGAUACCUCCAUGAUUUCCAUCACUGCUUCAGCCAGUAAUUGGUUCACAAACAUAUACCUUUUCUGUUGCAUUCAAGACACAGGAAACUAAACAGAUUUAGAUGGUGAUUUUGGAAGGCUUGUAUUAUUGAUAGUGGAGAGUGUCUUGACAACUACAUCAUAACAUAAACUUUGAGGGAAACCGAACAUAUUAAUCAAGAAUUAUUGCCAUAUUACCUGGCCUAGAUUUAUUGGAAAGAAACAAUGGGGUUGCCUUGCUGCUUUCAGAGUUUGUCUUCUUAUCUUCAGUAGACUGCACCAAAUUAACACACUAGCAUUGCUAUCAUUGUCCAGGUCAGAUAAUAGGAAAGAAACAUUGACACAACGAACGUUUGGGCAACCAGACCACACCAGCCUACACCAAAUUAACACAAUAUGGCACAACUAUCAUUAGCCAAGUAAGGUAAUACGCAAGCAACAUUAACACAAUGAAUGAAUGGGUAACCAGAGCAACACUACAGUUCAGUAAUGUGCAUGAUAUGAGAUAGUACACUCAUGUAGCUCAGUAUGCAAAACUACCAGGCAGUUUUCCUUACAAAAAUCAAUAUUGUCACCUUUAAUUAUACAUUUUGCUACAACUAAAUUUAGAGAAGAUGAAGCUUGGAUUCAUGCCGAUUAACAAAAUACAUGCUGAUGCAAAAAUAGAGUGAUAUAUAAUAGGUACUUACAUUAGCAUUGGAGCAUAGAGAAUUCCCGCAAGAUACUUUCCUCAAAGACGAUACCAGAAAUUCUUCUAUCUGUUAAGCUUAUUUUCUAAAAAAAAGAUGGGUAAUAAACAUGUAGAAAAUAUGAUCAACAUGCUAUAAAAUUUCAUGAUGCGAGGAUACGCACACGCUUCUUAGAAUGGAGUUGACAUAUUUUUGCAGGACUAGAGCGGACUAGUUCUUUGGUCACUGGAAUAUGCUUAUUAUCAGUAGGAGUUGGGUUUAUCUGUGCUAGAGCAGUAUCUAUGAAAACUGGAGUUGGUUUACUAUCUUCUGGCAUUUGGAUAUUUUGCAAAGACCUUGUUUGUAACCCUUCAGAUUCUAACAUAGUCGUCUUCCCCCUGCAUGCCUUAUAUAGAAGAACGGUGCUUCAAUUAUAAAACAUGCUACAGUAGAGAGAUGGAAUAUGUACUGAAGAACAGAAAGGCAUGACAUAUUGACAUGUAUUCCCUCCAUCCAGAAAUAAAUGUAUGAGUCUAGGCGUAUUUCCACUACUGCACAAUGCUGCUAACGCGACACUAUGAUAAAGAUCCUUUGAGAAACUGUGUGUGAUGCAAUAAUCACAAAUGGUGGUGUCAGAGAACCGUAAAAAAUGUCCAAAAUGUUUGCGAUGAUGGAUGCAUCAAACACGGUUCAGAUUUUAGUUGCGUGUGGGAUGCAGGGCAUACGGUUCAGUUCAAUUAACUAUUUGCGAUGAAGUGGAACAAAAGAAAUGGGCAGCCAAAUGAAGGCGUGUGCGAUACACAACAUAUGUUUUACUAGGAUGAACUGUUUGUGAUUAGGCAACACAAAAGAAACAAUUAGGCAGAUCAAGGUGUGUGCGAUAUACGGCAUGCGGUUCACUCGGAUGAACUGUUUGCGUUGAGACAAGAGAACAGAAACAGUUCAAUAUAACAAGAUGUGUGUGAUACAUGGCAAACAUGUAUGUAAUCAAAAAUGUGUGCGAAGACCGAUAAUAACAUAGACGAUUGCUUCUAAUAAGACGUAUGUGAUAUGCUAUGUCUACACAACAUGUAUUGGCCAUUGGAGGAAGGGUGAUUAUCCGGAUACGCCGUAAGGAUGCGAAGAGGCAUCCUAUAUCAGCAAGGACUAGUUGUUCCACCAGUAGCUCAUCUAUGAGAACUCUCAAGUCAAGUGUGCUCAGGGUGGAUCAGCCACGGGAUGGGUGACUGGAUGGGAAGUUGUGUUGAUGUUAAAUUAACUGAUAGGAUGGGUCAUAUUGGUCAAAUGACAAAAAUGACCCAUUCCGUCAGCUAAUUUAACCUCGAGGUCCUUGUUUUUUAUUUUUAUUUUAUUUUUUAACAUAUGUUAAAGAAAGUCUACCGCAUUACUUUUUAACAAUGUGUAUAUGUGGCAUACAGUUGAUCCAUCCGACCUGUUUAUGAUGGAAUAAGCCAUGUGUGUUGUGGGAAAAUGCUUGCUAGUGUACAACCGUUUGCGAUUGAUGAAUUCAUCACCCACGGGUUCCCUAGUGUGGUCCAUGUUCAUCUCAUCAUUAUCUACUUCUUGUGCUAGCUCAAUGUUCCUUUAUAUUGUAAGUUUCCAUUAAUUGAUGGUGUUCUAUGAACGCACCACCAUUUCCCGCCAUUUCCUCCCCUGUUUCCUAUCACCCAGCGAUAUUGCACAUAAACCUAGGCGUGGCGCGACGCACGGAGGCAACAAGCGUAGCCUGUAGCACAUCCACCUUUUCCAAGCAUGGCAAUGCACCAAAGCGCCGCCUCUGCCAUCAACCUCAUCGACGAGGAAAACCAUAAGAUGCCAUGGCCCGUCGAGGCCGCGGCGCUCCCCGGCAACGCGAUGGACGACGCUGUGAUGCGCGUCAUCGCCAGGGUUGAGUAGACCUUUGGCGCAUGGCGCUUCAGCGCCACGGAUCAAGAUAGGCAUGUCAGCGCUGAGAGGCUGCAGCUCGCCGCACAACAUGAUCGAUGGCGCGUUGCAGAGCAAGCUAGGUGCGUCCGCGUCGAUAGGAUGCGGCUCGCUGAACGGCGAGAGUGUUGGAGUGUUGCAGAGCGAGAGGCGCGGCGUGCCGCACAGUAAGAGCAGAUCCAUCGGCGCUUGCCUGCUGUCGACGGGGCAUCGUAGCUAGGUACACGUCCUGUCAGUACCCCCAUUCCUCGCCAGGAGUGGGCACAGGCCCUCUGUGUCGUACUUGCACCAGAGUCCGGCCACGUCGUACUUGCACUGGACACCGCCGCAUGGGUCGUGCCGUUUGCCUUGUCAGUGGCCCGCUCUAUGCCAAUGCGCUGGUUGGUAGGCUCGACCGCCUCCUUGGCCCAGGUGUCCACCUGAGCGCAGUAGAGGAACAUGAUCGUCGCGUCCUCGAGGUGGUGAUCUCCGAUGAAAUAGCCAACUUGGAGCUCGAGAUCGCGCUCCAGAUGUACCGCGAGCAUGCCGACCGCUUGGACGAAUGCCUGCAGGAGUUCAGGCAGAGCCAAGAGCUACCGUAGGCAAGGGCUGCUGGUCAUGGUCUCAUGGACGUGUUUUAUUUUGUUCAGUCAUUUCAACGUGGAUAGCUAUGUAUUCACAGCAAUCAUACUAUUGCUCUGUUUCAAUGUGUGUACUUCGUUUUCCGUUCUUAUAUGUUCUGUUUCAAUGUGUCUUUAUACACUUUCCAUUCUUUAUAUGUGGAUGAUAACAGAUAGAUUCAAAUUAGUAUACAAUAUUGGAUAGAGAAUGGAAUUCAUAAUAUAUAUAAUAUUAAUUGUUCAUUAAUUCAUCACAGAAUAUAUACAAUAUCAGCACAUAUACGUGAUGAUACUUAACUACUUGGUACAAUGCAUAAAAUUGAAACAAACAAUACUAAAACUAAUAAUCCCUCCUUGGGCUAGUAUUCUGGCAGCCCCUCGCCACCAUAUCCCAGCUGCACGGCGUCCUCCCAGAGCAGAGGCAGUACUCUGCCUCCUCCGCAUUGCAGCGCUUGACGUGCUGAUCUGUCUGUUGCAGGCGGACGCGCGCGAACGAUCUUGCCAUUUCAUUGGGCGCCCACCGGAGCUCCUCGUCGGUGGCACACUGGAGCUUAUCGGCCCAGCUCCAUUCAGCGAUGAGGCACCUAGCGCCUGUGGCCUUCCUCGCGAAGUAUCCGUCUUCGUACACCUCCUCCGCACGAUGAUGCGCCCGCCCCCAAACCUCCUCCGCCUCCUUUUUCCAGGCUGCAUCACGGGCUUCACAGGCCGCUUGGUAGCUGGCAUCCUCCUCCGUCAUCUCCUUCUUGAAAGCCACCUUCCUUUCUUUCUCAGUCGGCGGCAGUGACUUCCAAAGACAAAGAUCAUACUAGCCCCAAAACCAAUCCAAAGUUGGGGGGUCCGGCGCAACCUCAUUCGACGACGCGUAGGUGUCCUCAUCACUGCUCUUCGAGUGAGCCUCCUCGGGGGGUGGCGACUCCUCGUCAGCGCGUGGGCAGACCGACGGCGCCAUGGCAGAGAUUUGAGAUAGAGAGAGAGGGGGCGAGGAAGGGGAGGAUCUAGAUGAGAAUGCAAGCGGGACGACGUGAGCAAGGUAGUACUUAUUGGCGGCCAUAAUCUAGAUCAUCGGGAACAGUACACGCACUGGUCGCCGGAAUUUACGAGUACUACAGUGUGAAUUACACACGAUUCCCAUAGCAAAAUCUGUGUGUGAACAUAAGAGCUGACGGUUCCCAAUGCAGAACCAUGUCUGAUUAAUAAAUCCCGCCACCCACCUUCCAAAACUCGAGGCAUGGAAUAGAGUGCUAAUCAUGUGGGGCCGGUUGUCUUGCCAGAUUUUAGAUUUUCUUUUUGAACACCAGAUAUUUACAUCGUUUGAUGAUUUUUUAACUCGCACACAAGUACAGAAAUAUGAUUUUUCAAAGUGUUAUGGUUAGCCGUUGUAUGUAGAUGUAGUUCCAAUUUGAAUUACGGUCAUUAAAUGGCUAGGAAAUCACUUAAAUGUUUUCAAAAGGUCAAAUGACCCCUGAAAUUUUCCAGAUUUUUACAUGACAGUUAGUAUCAGUGCACAUUAUAUGUAGAAACAUUUUGAAGGCCGUAAGAGGAAGCUAUCUGUCGUUCAUCAUCAAAAAUGCAUUGUUCCUUCUCGGAACCACGAGCCUUCUAGUGAGUUGCUCCGGUUUGUGAGGGGUGUGUGUGUCCAAACUUUCGUCAUGCAAGCCAAUUUUUGUACCACAUCAUCUUGGUGGCAUGACAUUACAUCAAGCAAGGUUUCAUGUUUUUCUGAUCGUUUUUUAUUUUUUGGAAUAAUAAUACCAUGGCACUCCAUGCAUGUACAUGCAUGUGUCCAUGUCGUGAGACCAAUAUGUUUGACAAUUCCUUCUAAUUUACUGCACAUGGAAUUAACUUGCACACAAGUACACAAAUAUGAUGUUUCAAACCAUUAUGGUUAGUCGUUGCAUGUACAUGUAGAUCAAAUUUGAAUUACGUACGGUCAUUAAAUGGCUAGGAAAUCACUUAAAUCUCUUUAAAAGGUCAAAUGACCCCUGAAAUUUUCCAAAUUUUCACAUGAUAGUUAGUAUAAGUGCACAUUACACGUAGAAAAACUUUGAAGGCCAUAAGAGGAAGCUAUCCGCCGUUCGUCAUCAAACAUGCAUUGUUCCCUCUCGGAACCACGAGCCUUCUAGUGAGUUGCUCCUGUUUGUGAGGGGUGUGUGUCCAAACUUUCGUCAAGCAAGCCAAUUUUUGUACCACAUCAUCUUGGUGGCAUGACAUUACAUCAAGCAAGGUUUCAUGUUUUUCUGAUCAUUUUUUAAUUUUUUGGAAUAAAAAUGCCAUGGCACUCCAUGCAUGUAUAUGCAUGUGUCCAUGCCGUGAGACCAAUAUGUUUGAAAAUUCCUUCUAAUUUACUGCACAUGGAAUUAACUCGCACACAAGUACACAAAUAUAAUUUUUCAAACCGUUAUGGCUAGCCAUUGCAUGUACAUCUAGUUCAAAUUUGAAUUACGUACGGUCAUUAAAUGGCUAGGAAAUCACUGAAAUCUCUUUAAAAGGUCAAAUGACCCCUGAAAUUUUCCAAAUUUUCACAUGGCAGUUAGUAUUAGUGCACAUUACAUGUAGAAAAUUUUUGAAGGCCGUAAGAGGAAGCUAUCUACCGUUCGUCAGCAAACAUGCAUUGUUCCCUCUCGGAACCACGAGCCUUCUAGUGAUUUGCUCCGGUUUGUGAGGGGUGUGUUUCCAAUCUUUUCUCAAAUAGGCUAAUUUUUGUACCACAUCAUCUUGGUGAUAUGACAUUACUGUUGGGGAACGUUGCAUAAAAUAAAAAAUUUCCUACGUUCACCAAGAUCAAUCUAUGAGUUCAUCUAGCAACGAGAGAGAGAGAUGCAUCUACAUACCACUUGUAGAUCGCGUGCGGAAGUGUUCAAGAGAAUGGGGUUGAGGUAGUCGUUCUCGUCGUGAUCCUAUCACCGGAGAUCCUAGCGCCGAACGGACGGCACCUCCGCGUUCAACACACGUACGGUCAGCGUGACGUCUCCUCCAUCUUGGUCCAGCAAGGGGGAAGGAGAGAUUGAUGAAGAUCUAGCAGCACGACGGCGUGGUUGUGGAUGCAGCAGGACUCCGGCAGGGCUUCGCCAAGCAACUACGGGAGGAGGAAGAGGUGUAGCAGGGGGAGGGAGGCGCCAAGACUCAGGGGUGCGGCUGCCCUCCCUCCCCCCUCCUUUAUAUAGGCCCCCUAGGGGGCGCCGGCCCUGGAGAUGGGAAUCUCCUAAGGGGGCGGCGGCCAGGGGGGUGGAGUGCCCCCCAAGGCAAGUGGUGCGCCCCCACCCUAGGGUUUCCAACCCUAGGCGCAGGGGGGGCACACCAGCCCACUAGGGGCUGGUUCGCCUCCCACUUCAGCCCACGGGGCCCUCCGGGAUAGGUGGCCCCACCCGGUGGACCCCCGGACCCUUCCGGUGGUCCUGGUACAAUACCGGGUGACCCCGAAACUUUCCCGAUGGCCGAAACUGCACUUCCUAUAUAUAAUUAUUUACCUCCGGACCAUUCCGGAACUCCGAACAACAUUCGGUUUGCUGCAUACUCAUAUUCAUACAACCCUAGCGUCACCGAACCUUAAGUGUGUAGACCCUACGGGUUUGGGAGACAUGUAGACAUGACCGAGACAGCUCUCCGGUCAAUAACCAGCAGCGGGAUCUGGAUAGCCAUGUUGGGUCCCACAUACUCCUCGAUGAUCUCAUCGGAGAACCACGAUGUCGAGGAUUCAAGCAACCCCGUAUACAAUUCCCUUUGUCAGACGGUAUGUUACUUGCCCGCGAUUCGAUCGUCGGUAUCCCAAUACCUCGUUCAAUCUUGUUGCCGGCAAGACACUUUACUCGUACCAUAAUGCAUGAUCCCGUGACCAGACACUUGGUCACUUUGAGCUCAUUAUGAUGAUGCACUACCAAGUGGCCCCAGUGACACCUCUCCGUAAAACGGAGUGACAAAUCCCAGUCUCGAUCCGUGUCAACCUAACAGACACUUUCGGAGACCUGUAGUGCACCUUUAUAGUCACCCAGUUACAUUGCGACGUUUGGUACACCCAAAGCACUCCUACGGUGUCCGGGAGUUACACGAUCUCAUGGUCUAAGGUAGAGACACUUGACACAGGAAAAGCUCUAGCAAAACGAACUACACGAUCUUGUGCUAUGCUUAGGAUUGGGUCUUGUCCAUCACAUCAUUCUCCUAAUGAUGUGAUCCCGUUAUCGACGACAUCCAAUGUCCAUAAUUAGGAAACCAUGACUAUCUAUUGAUCAACGAGCUAGUCAACUAUAGGCUCACUAGGGACAUGUUGUGGUCUAAGUAUUCACACGUGUUUUACGAUUUCCGGAUAAUACAAUUAUAGCAUGAAUAAAAGACAACUAUCAUGAACAAAGAAAUAUAAUAAUAAUCCUUUUAUUAUUGCCUCUAGGGCAUAUUUCCAACAAUUACCUGAAGAAAGGUUCCAUGUUUUUAAUUUUUUGGAAUUUGAAUGACAUGGCACUCCAUGCUUAAUUGUGCCACAGCCGCUAGACCAAUAUGUUUGAAAAUUCCUUCCAAUUUACUGCACGUGGAAUUAAACUAAACACAAGUACACAAAACAUGACUUUUCAAACCGCUUUGGUUAGCUGCUACAUGUACAUGUAGUUCAAAUCUUAAAUUACGGUCAUUAAAUGGCUAGAAUAUCAAUUAAAUGUCUUAAAAGGUCAGAUGAGCCCUGAAAUUUUCCAAAAUUUGACAUGAUAGUUGUAUUAGUACUACAAAUUUUCUCGUACAUUUAAAACACCAUCUGUUGCCACUUUACUCCAAAUUCGUCUUUCAUAGCUAAUAAAAAAUAUCUACAACAUCACACAUAGUUGUUUUGUAGGAAUCGUUUGCGAUGAAAAAAUCUGGGUCUAUUUAAGUCUUCCUCCUUAAGCUUUGCCGGCUCGUCUACUGCAGUGCUGGCAAUCCUUGAAUCCACAAAUCCUUAUCCCCAUUCCUGCACCCCCUUCUUGCAAAGAUGACGCCGUCGAAACGCUUCGUGAAGGCCCGUACGAUGGUCGCGUCCCCCCGAGCGCCGCCGCCUGCGCCAAGAGUGUCGCCGCAUCCACAUUGAGCACGGCCGCUUCCGUCGAGAGGGCAUCUGCGGCAGCCAACAGGGCAGCUGCAGCAGCCGAGACGGCUGCAGCUGCUGCUGCGACGGUGGCUGCAAAUGUCGAGAGUGCUCGAGCUACCGUCUGUGCCACCGAUGUCGCCCUGGCCGGGUCGAGGCCAUUCAUGCCAAGAUAUUCCAGGCCACCUCAGAAUCUAGCAUGCAACCCAUGUGUGAAAAGGUGGCAGUGGCCAUGGAGCACCUUCUUCCUCAUGAGGUCAUCGAGUGGGAGCUGGAGAUGCAGGAGGUGGCGGAGAUCGAGGAGCGCCGGAGGAGGAGUUGCGCGUGGCCCAGGUGGAGGUAGAGAAGAGUCUGUCCAUCGAGGAAUCGGUGGUGGAGUACCAACGCGAGCUCUAGCACAACCACUACUACGAGUACUACAACCUUGAGGGUAGCGCCGAGGACGAGGAUGAGGACGUAGUCGACUUUAGCAGGGGGGACGCGAAGUCCACCAACGGCGGCAUGUCGCCAGGACAAGUCAUCGACAUCUCAUCUCACACCGGCGAUGCAUAGGCCGGCGCGACGACAGAUUUGUUAAAAUUAUUCGUACUUAGUAUUUUUUUUAAUGCUGGUCUUUUGUUAGAACAAUGUUUAGGUGAACAAUGUUUAUGUCUGGUCUAUGUGCUGUACGCUCUUUUGUGUGCCCAAAUUAGCAAGCGAUGUUAAAUUAUGCAAUGACAUACGCGUGGAAAUUUCCACCAAAAUUUUAAUUUUCAAACUCAUCCCACGUGUGUUAAGUAGAAGAAUCAUUUGCGAUGCACACUACCAUUCAAAGUGAAUGGUGUCUGGCGGCACCACGUGCAAAGUUUCCCUCCACAUUUCAAAAUUUUUGGCCUACCACCGAAAUAUCUACCCUCCCCCUCCCCAUCCCCUUUUCUUCUCGACCACAAGUCACAUUUCCCCUGUUGCCCCUUCCUUCCUUCCUAAGCUAUAACAGCUUCCUCACUUGCUUCCUCGCUCUCGCCGUCUCGCAUCCUACCGCCGGGGUCGCCAUGGUCAUCUUCAAAUACCUCUCCAGCGGUUCCUCCUCUGAUGACGACUCCACCACCCGAGUAUGCCUCUCUUCUCUCUCUCGGGCUAUGACUUUGAAUGAAGGAUUUUUACCCGAGGCUCGAUCUGAGUCAUUUCUUACUCUUGUAGUUCCCUAGGACCUUCAGUUGCAACGAAUGGAGCGGGGUGGCCGAAGAUCUGUCUGCUCGUUGUCACCAUCAAUCUCCAUGCAUAAAGCUAGUUGCAUUUGAAUCUAUGGACAUUGGGAGAAAGUUUAUGGCAUGUGCAGAGAAGGUUAGAUCCUCUUUUGUUGUUACAAAUCAUUUGUUAGAUGUGAUUCAGACACUGUCACGGUCCCAACCUAUUCAUACCACACCUUCAACCAAACGCAUCCUAAGACAGUGUCACAAUUUGUAACUAGUGUCUAAAAAUGUUGGCAUCUCAUCAGCGGUGCCAUUAGAAAAUUAUUUGGCGCCGCUUCAGUAGUUUGUGGAGCCAACUUGUCCACACAUCCGAGCAGUCAAGCAGUAAAAUACUAAAUCUUUAUGCCACAAAAGAACUGGGCGUCAGAGCAACUAGGUGCUCCGGAGUUCGGGUCCCUGAUUUUUUUCACUGCAACGGCUCGCCAGUGCAGGGCACCGAUGUGAGAUGUGCAAUAGUUGUCUUUACACCGGUUUUGACAUACAUAGUGGACUCCUUAGUGCUAUUAGUUCUAUGUUACGAAAUUUCUGCAUGUACACACCUGUUAGUAUCAAUUUGUUGUCAUCCAAACACUGUCGCUAUGUUGUUGCAGUUAUAUUUACCUUCCUCAUAAAAUGUUCAAUUUGUUAUUUAUAGUAUGUGAGUAAGAACUUGUAGCGUUCUUGUAGUUAAUUAUAGCUUUUGAUGUUCCAGAAUUUGGUUGUUGUCUCAGUAGCAAUUAAUUCAUUUGCACAUUGAUCUUUUUGAGAAGAUAUGUCAUAAUUAACCUAUUUCUUGAGUAUUUCAAAAUAAGUAUUUGGUGAUUUUCUAUGUUGCUAUAAACCCAUUUCCCCUACAAUUGUUACUGAUCUAGUUUUAAAUAUUAUAGGAUGAACGGAAGUGUUCUUAUUUGGAGUGGGUUGAUCAAGAGUGGCCACAGUCUUUGAAGAUGUGCCUUGCAAAGCUCUGGAGCAUGUAUGAGGAAGAGAACAGAGGUAGCACUACAAAAAAAUACACUUCCGUCAUGAUACAUGUUUGUCACAAUAGGUCGCAUUUUUUGUCAUGCAUGUACAUCCAUGACGAUUUUAUGACAGAAUCAAAUAGUCAUACCUGUGCUGUCGUAGAAGUGUUCCAUGACAUUACCAAUAUUAUCAUCACAGAAGUGUCCACUUCCAUGACGAUAAAUCGUGCGUCAUAGAAGUGCUUUCGUCAAGAGUGACCGACAUGUGGCAUCCACCGUAACGGAACGUCAUUAAGCUAUCAGGUCGAGUUUUGGAUCCGAUAACCCGUUAACAGCCCCGACCAAUGGGGAUUUCCACGUGUAAAAUCAUCAUUGGCUGGAGGAAACACGUGUCGGCUCAUCGUUGGGACAGAUGUCAUCUACUCAUUGGACAAAAGGCGCCUAUGAUACGUCGACACAUGGCAUGGCCCAACAGAGGCCCAUUCCUGUGAAAAGGCCACCCCGUUUGACAUGGUCAGAAGGUGGCGGGCCGGCCCAUGGAAAGUCGGUUAACGACAUGUUUGCAUAUAGACCAUUUACAGACCGCUAACCCAAGGCCCGUUACGCCCUAUCUGAAUUAGGCCCAGUAGCGUCAUCUGGGCCAUCCAAUAUGAUUGCAGCCCGUUUUCACUUCUGGCCCAUGUAUGGCCCAUGACGUCUUUCGGCCCAUAUGAGGCCCUUUGUAACUCUUGGCCUAUUAACGGCCCAUGGUGAAACUGGCCCGUAAUGAACAGUGUAUCACUUUACACCCAUUAACGGCCCGUGGUGAAACUGGCCCGUAAUGAACAGUGUAUCACCUUAUACCCAUUAACGGCCCGUUAUUCCGUUGGACCAUUUCCAGCCCAUGUUAUCUUUCGGCCUUCUCAGAGCCCAUUUAUUCUUGGGCUCAUUUCCAGCAUUCGUUUACUUACGGCCCGUUAUUGUCAUUUUCUGCUUCUGGGCCAAAUUCAGCCCGUGGUUACCGUCGGCCCGUUUGUGGUCCGUUAAUACAUUGGGCUGUUUUCAUAGCGUCAUCAAAUAUGGCCUAUUAACGAUGGCAUGUUAUGGUCGGCCCAUGAACGGACGAUUCCAACUCUAGCCCGUUUACAGCCAUAAUGUGGUCUGUUUGGCCCAUGUUUGGCCAAUCGAUCAUACGGCCCGUAUAAGGCCCAUUGAUGAUACAGCCCGCAGAAGGCCCGUUAUUUCUACGGCCCUUAGAAGGCCCAUUAUUUCUAUGGCCGGUAGAAGGCCCACUAUUUCUAUGGCCCGUAGGAGGCCCAGUGUCACUACAGUAAAUAUUAGGUUAUUGUGGACUAGUUUGAAAAAUUAGGUUAUUGCAGCCACUAGCAAACCGCGGAAAAAGAACUACAAUGACUACAAGCAAACAAAUAAACAAGACAACAAGGAAAUAAAUAAGCAAGCAACUAACGCUAGGCUAUCACGGCUAUUACACAUAUUACAUCCACUGGGCAUCAAAGUUCGCCACCAAUGCAAAUAUAGGGAACAAAGCAGCAUAUCAUAUACACUAGUUGUCAAAAUUGGCGACCAGUGCAAAUAAAUGCUGCAGCAAAACAAAUCCAGAACUGAAACCACUUCAGAAGAUCUCAAGAAACAAUAUCCAGGGUACCCAUAAUGCUGGCAAGAUGCUUAGCAAGCUUAUUAACUUUCUCUUGUUUGGCGCUUAAAUCCUCCAGCGCUUGUUGUUGCACCAGGAAAUAUGCAUCUGAAUUCUACAGGGACUUCCUCAGUCCUUCAGCUUCCUGUCGCAGCACAUUUGAUCAAUGUCUUUCAACUUGAAGUUGAGACUCAAGAAGAUGAACUGAUUCAGGCAGCGAGUUUGAAGAGGUUGUGCCAGCAGUAGUGGCCAGUAACUCAAACACUACAUCAGGACAAGACUUUUGGGUUCUCUCACUGUCGUCAAGAUAGUUUUUAUUAGCUUUCUUGGAGACCAACAGGGAUGUCUCACUAUCUUGAACCUUAUCUGCAUUACUUCCUUUACCAUUGGACAACGCGGUACUGUUCGCCAAUAUUUUGUCGGCAUUCUAAAAGAGAAACAAGAAGACACAUCACAUGUUUACCAUGUUGUAUAUGAAACUCAUUUUGGUAAAUGAGUUCAGUAGUAAAGUGGACAGGAUAAUAGCAUGAAACAAGCAUAUAUCUAUGUACCAUGGUCACUUUAUGGUCUAUAUCAUUCUAGUUUUUGUUGCCAAAUCAAGAUUGAGACACAGUUCAAAUAAUAUUUGUUCAAGACAAAGCAGAAUAGACAGAAUAUAAGUGUGGGAAACUAUAGAGCAAUAACAACACUUGUAAUGUGCGUGACAUAAGAACAUAAUUGUUUAUUCAAUUGAAACUGAAAUCAACAUAGAGCAGGUUACAACAGCAAACCAGUUAAAGAAACAGGUUUAAAACAUACCCGUUGCGCCAUUGGAGUUUCAAUUCCAUCCUUCAAAUUUGAAAAUAGUUGGUAUGAGUAAAUACAUUAAUGCAAGAGCAAAGGAGUAUGAACCAUAGCUACAGAACCUGACCUGAGAACAAAUCUUCUUCUCCUUUAAGCGUUGAGUUGGGAUUCAGAGUGGUGGUCCUCAUGAUUUGGGCACUGCAGUUCCCUUACUAACUGCUCGUGUUUGGGUGCUCUGUGGUGGAGAUGGUGUUGUGUCAACUGGAACUGGGUUACUAUCUGCCAGGGUUGGGGUUAGAAGGGGUGUAGCUGGUUCUCUGUCCAACUGGGUAGGGGUACAAUCUGCGAGAGUCUGUGUUAUGUGUGGUGGAUCUGGUCCUUGGGCAAGUACAACCGUGGUUCUAUCUGUGUCAACUGGUAGCACUAUCUUUUCUGAAGACCGUGUUGUUACUCCCUUAGAUACUGCCAUCACCCUCUCCAAUUCAAAUGGCUGAUAAACAAGAAAAGUAAUUGAAAGUAUAGACAUUUUAUGAUAGACAGGUGCAAUGGAUAGUGGGGAAUAAAAGAGGGCAUGGACUAAUUCAUGUUUAUGUUGUCUAACCAGACAAGAUAGCAUGACACAAUUUCACAUAUAUGAUGGCUAACUAAACAGGAUAGUAUGACACAAUUUCACAUUAUGAUGGCUAACUAAAAAAGAUGGAAAGACAUAGUUCAAAAUAUGAGACUAUGUAAACAGGAUGACAUGAUAUAACUAUAUAAUGUGUUUAUUAAAUAGGUUGGCAUGCCAUAAUUCACAUACAUUCACGGAUAAUAUGCCAUAAUUCAAAAUAUGAUGAUUGUAAACACUAAAGAUGAUGAUAUGAUAUAACUAUAUGAUGUCUUUAUUAAAUGGGUUGCCAUGCCUUAAUUCGGAUAUAUGAUGUGUAUGUACUAUGUAAACAUGAUGGCAUGAUAUAAUUCAAAUAUAUGAUUUAUAUAGUAAGCAAGUAAGCAGAUGGCAAUCCAUAUAUGAUGUAAAAACUAAGCAAUGCAAGACAACAUGCAUGACAUGGGUAAUAUAACCCUGCCAAGUUUGAGCAUAGACCUCAGGAGGGAAAUAGGACUGGUCAUCAGUCUCUGAAUCCUCCUCUAAGGAGCUCUCUGUAACCAGCAAGAUGUCUGCUUCAGCAGGUAGCAUUGUCUGCUCUGAAUACCUUGUUUUCACUCCAGAAACUUCCAUCACCGCUUCAAAUGGCUAAUGCACAGGAAGAGUAGUUGAAUAUACAAACGUUGUCGACAAAUGGAACACGUAAUACAAAAAAAUGAUAGCAUGAUAUAAUUCACAUACAUGAUGAUUGGCUAAACAACAUGGAAUUGCAUAAUUCACAUAUAUAAUGCCUUUGCAACAAGAUAGCAUUGUAUAAUUCACAUAUAUAAUGUCUUGCAACAAGAUGGCAAUGCAUAAUUCACAUAUAUGGUAAUUAGACAUUGAACAGGUGGCAUUCACACAAAGCAUGUCUAAAUUAAUCAAAUGGCAUAGCAAUGCGAGACACCAUACGCACGAUAUGAGCAACAUAACCCUGCCAAGUUAGAGCAUACACCUCGGGGGGGGGGGAAUAGGACUGGUCAUCUGUCUCUGAAUUCUCCUCUGAGGAGCUAUCCGUAACCAGCGAGAUAUGUGCUUCGUCAGAUAGCAUAGUCUGCUCUGAAGACCUUGUUUUCACUCCAGAAUUUGCCAUCACCGUGUCAAAUGGCUAAUGCACAUGAAGAGCAGUUGAAUGUACUAACAUUGUUGACAAAUGUAAUAUGUAACGAAAAAAAGGAUGGCCUGAUAUAAUUUACAUAUAAGAUGACUGGCUAAGAAGGAUGGCAUUGCAAAAUUCACAUAUAUGAUGCCUGGCUAAACAAUAUGGCGUUGCAUAAUUCACAUAAACGAUGAAUAAACUAAACAGAUGGCAUUCGCACAAAGGAUGUCUAAACUAAGCAGAUGACAUAUUUGAUGUAUAAAGUAAGCAAUGCAAGACACCAUAUGCAUGAUAUAACAAACAUCAGCAUGCCAAGUUAGAGCGAAGACCUCAGGGGGUAAAUAGGAGUUGUCUUCUCCUUCUGAAUCCCCCUCAGAACAGAUAUCUUCCUCUCGAUUACAAUCCAAAAUGCGUGGAGGGGGGCUGCCUUUGCGCCUACCAUGGAGCGACGUCUCCAUGAAAUUUUAUUACCACGCAAGGCUCAUCUCUUUUGCUCUACAUGUUCAGUUCCAUUGUUUAGAAUAACGGUCAUGCAUAGGAAUAAAACAU